rnacentral:lncRNA from 1 species
UGCUAUACCCGAGAAACCUCCUGUUUCUCUUGCAUAUCUUCAUCAGUAAGUCUUUGGACCCGAGGGUGCCUUGCCAAAAUUGGAUCUUGGACAUGAUGGUCUGGGAUUUGUGGCUGAUGGCGUGGUUAUUCGAUCUGACGAGGUGGGUGAUGUCGGAGCAGGAGAAGCCCAGAUCCUGCAAAGCUCGGAACUUUGGGGCCAGGUUCUUCUCCACGUCGAGGAGAAGCCACCGGGGGUUUUCAGAUAUGACCAUUUUCACCUGGGUGUUGUCAAAACCGUAGCUUUUAAAUAAGCCAAGGACGGAGUCAGGCUGGUGGCGGGAUUCGAUGCGGCCAAGGAGCUUCGAGGCCUUGGCCGCCUCAUCCGGAUCGAAGCCACAGGAGCUGACCAGGUAUUCAGCCAUGAAGCUGCUCUGUGGAGCACCGGAGGCGGCGGAAUAAGAAUGGGUUGAGAGAAAAACGGCAGCAUCGGCCGGACGACGGCGAGGGAUGAAGGUGAGGGCUUUGAACAAGAGAGAGACGAACGGCGACCUAUUCAUCAACGUCAUCGUCGUCUACUUCUCCUUCUUUGUAUGUUCCUUCUCUUCUCCAAGACCUAGCGAUGGUGGUGUUGCUGCGUCGGGAGGAAACUGGCCGGAAAUACCUGCAUCCGAAACCCUAGUAGUGCGCCACUGUAUCCGAGGAACUCUUUUGUUCGGUCGGAGAUUUCUGCGACCGCAGGCCUCUUUUUUCCUUCGUUAGCUUUUACUGUGUGCCAACUACAAAUAGUAGAUGAAUGAACACUCGUCUUCACUUUCUCUUCGGUCGGAGAUUUCUGCGACCGCAGACCUCCAUUUUUUUUUUGUUUUUCUUCGGCAACUUUAAUCGUGUGCAUCUUCAAAAAUAAAUGAAUGAACACUAGCGAAGUCAACUCUUUUCUUCCAUUCGAGAUUUCUACGAACACAAACAUCUUUUCCUUCGUCAACUUUUAUCGAUUGAUAACUAAAAAUGAUAAAUGAAUGAACACUAGUAAAGUUCACUCUUUUCUUCAAUCGAGGAUUUCUGCAAGCCACUUUUUCUUUGUCAAUUUUUAUUUAGUGCCAACUAAAAAUAAUAGUAAAUGAAUGAGCACUAAUAAAGCCAUAAUCCUCAUAAAAAUCGAUGGGUUAAUAAUUAUGCUACCUAAAUUAUAAAAUUAAAUCAACUAUAGUAUUUUCAUUUAAGGGUAUCUUCUCAAAAUAAUCACUCAUUAUUAAUUUUUUAAUCAUAAAAUACUAAUUAUUAAAUUUUUAUGGAAUGAUAUCCUUAUAUUCGCUUUUGUUUAUGGCACUUAUUUUAUUUUCUAAGUCAAUCAUAAUGCGUGAAUCAAUUCUUUUAAAAAUGAACUAAUCCAAUCUACAUAAUCCUACUUAACCUAGUUUAGUUUAAUAGAACCUUAAUUUAUCUCUUAUUCUCCAUUAAGUAAUCUCAUGUAACGUGAUCUCCAAUAAAAUGAGAGAUUUUUCAUCAUUGAUUAUUCACUGGUCACCAAAAUUAAUUUGUUGGAAUCUUCGUUCCUGUAAACGAGCAAUGUGGUAUGGGUAGGCUUUGUGUUGCAUUGGUCAAAUCCUCUACUGUAUUGAUAAAGCAUUCGUAAAAAAACUUUUCCACUAUAUUCACGAAAUAUUCAUGCAAGGCUUCGCUAUUGUGUUGCCUAAGAAUUCAUGGAACGCAUUGUGGAAGCCUUCAAUGCAUCACUAAAGACCUCUUUGUUGCUUUGCCAAAACAUUUAUAGUACGAUUCUAAUUCCCAUAGUCUAGAUUCCUAACGUGGUUAUCGUGAAACUUGUCUUCUCUAUAAUGAGUUGCUCGUUAGUCGAGGAAAAGUGGUGAGAAGCAUCGUUAGUUUAAAAUUUGCCAAAGCUAUGGUUUGUAGUGUUGUUUGGAUUUUUUAUUGACUUAAAAUAUUAUUCUCAAAUUAUUUAAAGGUUAAAAUAUUAGUCUUAUAAAGCUUUUUUUAAGAUGAGAAUUGAGUGGUUUUAUAGAGCACUUAUGGUACUUUUGUCUUUUCAAGUACCAUAACUUGAAAACUUUUGUCUUUUCAAGUAGUGAUAUACUUCCACACAAUUUCAAACUUUAAAUAUUGAAUUGGGAAGUAAAUCAAGUUAGGAUCUACUUUCUCAUAACUUUAAACUUUAAUCUAUAUUUUAGGAAGCAAUCAUGAGAUACAUGAUUAGAUUAGAGGAUCUAUUUUCGCAUAAAUCUAAAUGUGUAACUUUGAUCUGAAUGAGACAUUUGUAAUAGAUGAGAAUGAAAGUAGUUAUAAGAUAUUUGAAGCAUUUUGAACUAUUAUUAAUAUUAAAGUAGUUAUCUAUACAAGUUUUUAGCAAAUAUGACAUAAUAUUAUAAAGCAUUUUGAACUAUUAUUAAUAUUAAAUAUGAAGUUAACAUUGCACAAUUGAUCUUACAAUCCUUAUUAUAAUCAUGUUUUAGUUCAAUUAUGAAAGUGGACUUUAGUUGAAUUAGAAUCAUGUUUUAGUUAAGUUAUCAUUCAAGUAAGACAUCACAAUCCUACCCCAAUAAUGUGCCAAAUUUUUUUAAUAUCUUAAGAUCCUAAAAAAAUGAUGUUAAUCAUCUUAUGCUUAUAGCCAAAUAGUUUAAUAAAAGUUUGAACUAGUUUAGUGGAAGCUGUCCAAGUCAUAGUCAAAAUUUAAUGAAGUUACACUUGAUCACUAUAUAUUUUCAAAAAAAAUAAUUUUGAUAAUUAAUUAUCUCUAACAAUAGAAAAAAUAUAGUAUUAAUCAUCUUAGAAUCAUGUCCUAGGUUUUGUGAAAGUUUAGGUUGGUUUGUUAAGUUACAUUCAAGAUUGAACUAAGUUAUAUCUGAUUAGAGCAGGUAUUAAAAAAACCUCUAAUUUAAAUAAUUAAAUAUCAUAAAAAUUUUAAAUAUAAAAAAUGAUACUAAAAUUUUUAUAUUUAAUUAUUUAAAAUAUAAAAAAAUUUAAAUAAUUAAAUUACCUAUUGGUUGAAGUUGACCCAACAUUUAUAUAUGAUAUAAAUACUUUUCAAAUAUCACUUUUACAUAAAAGAAAUAUUUAGCAAAUUUCGUAUGUAGUACACAUCAUAGUAGCAACACAGCAAAACAUAUCAUUCAACUUUCAGGACAAUGACAUAUAAUUAUAUAUAAUAGGAACAACGUACAGUAGUGACACAUCAAACACAUAUCAUUCAAUUUUCACGAUAUACAUACAUACAUACAUACAUACAUAGUGAAACAUAUGUGCAUAUUUUAGUAAACAUCAUAGUACUCGCACACCAAAGCUAUAUAAUCCAACUUUCACAACAAUGACAUAUAAUUAUAUACCAUAUGAACAAUGACAUACAAUUAUAAAUGAUAUGAGCAUGCGCUACACACACCAAAUACAAGUAAAAUGACAUUCACAUUAGUAUUCUAUUACAUGUUUGACAUACUACCAAUUAUGGUAGUAGAUGUCAAAACAACAUAUCUCAUAUCUAAUGAGUAAAAAUAUCACAUUAUCACAAUCAAUUAAUGAGUAAAAUUUCUUAUCAUUUGAAAAAUCAACCGAACUUAAAACCUAAAUUACCAAAUAUCCAUAAUCAAAUCAAUUAAAAAAAUUCAGGUGUACAACAACCUGCAUAAGUCUGAUAUCUUCUGGUAGACUUAUGAAGAACAGGACAAGAAUAGUAAUUCCAUGCAGUGUCUACAAAAGAAUUAAGCAAUUAACCCUAUUGACAAUAUCAUGGCAAAUCUUCUCAUCAUUCUUCAUUUUUUUUACUACUUGUAUGCAUACAAGUUCAUCUUAAAUUCACCAAAAAAAAGUAAAUGACAGGAAUCACACUGCAUGGUUGCAAACUGCAGAUCAAGUUAAGCAGACAGUGAAAAAUUGGAACCUGGAAACACAACUUGCUGGUACAAAACCUUACACCAUGCAUUAUGCACUUACAGGAUCAAAGAGUAGGUCUGUUUUUCAUACAAUUCAAUGAGUUCUGGCACUCGUAGCAGAUGAUGAUCUUCCUCCAGAAAUUUCUUCUCUGGAUAUUUCAUGUAUGUGUAUAUUUGGAGGUCACCGAUGCAAAUUCUCCUGGACUUGAUGCCCAACAACAUCCAAUACAUUGGAACCAACCUUUUCUCCAAACUCAUCAACAAAAAUCACUGACCGAGGUACAAGAUAAGAUGGAGCAUAUUUGGCUUCAUUUACCAAGAACUCCAUGUUCUUCUCUUUAAAGAACCUGCCAUAAGUGUAAGAGCCUUUUUGAAUACAAGCAGCAAAUCAUCUAACCACCCGAAGCUCUUAAAGAACUCCAAGUGAGCGUUGAAAAUUUUCUUGCUGAUUGUCUGGAGCACCCUUAGAGCUCGAUGGAACAUCCCUGGGGUAUAGGCUAUUCCCAAACUCUCGACAUGACUAAUUAACACCUUCAGAGUUUCAGCCUUCUAGAAUAUCAGGCGAGGGUAGUGCCAUAGGAUCUCACAAUCCCUUAGAUCUAAAUGUUAGGCUGGAUCCUCUUCUCGAUGCUAUACCCGAGAAACUAGCGAUCUUUCUUGUAUAACUUCACCAAAAAUUCAUUGGACCUGAAGAGGCCUUACCGUAACUGGAUCUUGGACACGAUAGCCUGGAAUUUUUGGUUGAUGACGAUAGGAUUUGAUUUGACGAGAUGGGUGAUGUUGGAGUAGGAGAAGCCCAAAUCUUACAAAGCUCCAAAUUUUGAGGCUAGAGUCCUCUCCACGUCAAGGAGAAGCCACUAGUGGUUUAAAGAUAUGACCCUUUUCAUUUGAGCAUUAUCAAAACCAUAGCUUUUGAAGAAGCCAAGGAUAGAGUAAGGCUAAUGGCGGGAUUCGAUGCGGCAAAGGAGCUUCGAGGCCUUGGCCGUCUCAUCCAGAACGAAGUCACAGGAGCCAACUAGGUAUUCAACCAUGAGGUUGCUCUGUGGAGCCCCGAAAGUGGCGAAGUAAGAAUUGAUUGAAAGAAAAAAAGCAACGGUCAAACAACAACGAGGGAUGAAGGUAAAGGCAAGAGAGAAAAGUAAUACAACCUAUUGAUCAAUGUCAUCGUCUUUUUCUUCUUUUUUGUAUGUUCCUUCGCCAAAACCUAGCAAAGGUGGUAUUGCCAUAUCCUAGAAGAGCACGUUUGGGUCAAAAGUACUUGUAACCUAACUCUUGGAAGUUCGUUACAGUGUUCAAGGAAAUUAUUUUUUUAUCGAUCAAAGAUUUCUACGACUACAGUCAUCUUUUUAUAAUUAAAAAUAAUAAAUAAAUAAAUAAACGACAUGUGAGUCCUAAUGCUUAUAAAAGUUGAUGGAUUAAUAAUUAUACUACCUAAAUUAUAAAAUAAAAUAAAUGAUAAUAUUCUUAUUUAAAGAUAUUUUAUUGUAAAAGUCUCAUUUUGAAUUAAGAUCCAUUUUAUUCCCUAUGAUUUUGAUCAUUGAUCACUUAAACUUUUACGAUUUAGUCAUGUAUAUAAUAAUCUAUAUAUUUUUAAAAAUGUAACAUAUAAGCUCCUCCCGUUAAGUCUGAGUUAACAAACAUUAAAAUAUACUUACGUGAUAUAUUAACUCAUAAUAAAUUAUUAAUAAAAUAACAUAAAUUAUAUAUAUAUAUAUAUAUAAAGAGAAUUAGUUUUUUUGCUACUGCAACAACUUUUGUUGGAAAAAUAUCUCCAUCAAGCAACUAGAUGCCUUAUCCAUCAACUAGUUCUCAGGCAAGAAAGUACAUAAUAUAAUUCUUGGCUGACAACAAGUCAAGCCUUUGUCAAAAACACAAUAUCUAUGAUGAUCAACAAACAUUAGGGUACAAAUCCUCUAUAUCAUCUGUUGAUCCCAUGACUCAACAAAGAUGAAAAAUUAUCCAGAAAAUUCUAAUUUCUGUCACAAGAUACAAGUGGUGCUUCUGUUUUGUUUGACAGAGUACCUACCUACAAAAGACACUGCGACUAUCAUCAUUUCUCCUAGGCCAAUGAUGCAUCAAAACCUAAACGAAAGCACAAAGCAAAAGAUUAGAACUCAGAGAUAUACGACAUUUACCAGAUAUUAGCAUGCUACAAUACCUCAGGGAAUAUUAUUUUGAUGAAUUUGUCCAGAGACAAUAAUACAUCAAAACCUCAAGAUGAGGAACAUGCCAAAAGAUUAGGACUCGGACAUAUGGCUGAGACUAGCAUGCUAUACUACAACAGAAUAGCAUAAAUAAGAAUCUGGAGAGCUAAGGGCUGGAAUAAAAUUCCAGAUUACAUGCUGCUAUUAGGCAAUAAAUAUAUAGAUGCUCUAUAGCAGCAUUGAAACACAAGUUUGUAACAUAAAAACAACCUGCAUAAUUUGACAUGUUAACUAGACCUUCAGAUCACCUUUGUGUUUUAUAGCUCUUACAGCUUUGACAAUAAUAAAUCUAUAGAUGCUCUAUUGUAGCUCUAUAGUAGCAUUGAACCACAAGUUUGUAACAUAAAACCAACCUGCAUUAUUUGACAUUAAGGAUGCAAAAGAAGCAUACAGUGGCAAGUGCAAGUUGAAAUUGUGGAUUUUCAUAGUACAAAAACCAGUAUAACUACAAAUUCAAAUGCUUAAAAAAUUUUCUAGAUUUUUUCUUUUCUAACUUUCUGUAUUAACUGUCCAUGAAAUUUAUGUAAAAAACAUGGUCUGCAGUACCGGACUGUAUCGCCCGGUACGGGCGGUACGUACCGGUCCGACAGGUUUCCGGUACGCGGACCGCCUGUUACCGGUAUGUAGCACUGUAGCAGUACUACAGUGCUCGGCAUGCCUGAAUAUACCGCUCGGUACAUCUGGGUGUACCGCUCAGUAUACCGUAUCGUACCGGUACCGAGUCCAGGUCGAAACUCCGGUACGGUACGGUAUUGCGGACUUUGAUAAAAAAUAUCUUCAACACUGUAAAUUAGAUACCAAAUCAGCAAAUUUAUGCGGACAAAUAUCGAAGAGACCGAAGAUUAUUCGUGCCAAUUUAGUUAGAAUCUCUCCUGAUAAAAUCUGCUUAAUUUGCCGACAAAUGAUCUAAAUCAGCUAAUCUAAAGUGGUCAUCACUUUUAUUCCUUUUCCCCAGUAAGUCAAAUCUUUCAUUCUUAAGGUAAAAAGGAAACAUGGUUGGCAUCACUUUGGAAGGUCCUCACGAAAACUUUCGCUGCCUAUCCGAUUCCUUGUUUUGUGCCUUGAAGUAGUGGGUCUUUUACGGUUUUGCAGCAACACUGAGAGCUCUUCUUUUCUUUACUGAACAAUGAGCACGAAUCUCUGCCUAUGGCCAAAAUUCCAUUACUGAAUAAUUCUCAUUGCCAACAAUUGAAACAACAUCCCAUCAAGUCUCAUCAUUAUUAAUAUAGUAAACGUCUAACUAUAAUUUUAUUAGAAAAUCAGCUAAGGAUUUCACCUUGACGGAACAGAACACUUCUUCAAUCCUUAGCUCCCAAGCUAUGGACCAUCUGAAAUAUGUAAUUUCAGCUCGAUAGGGAUUAUCUUAGUAGAAACAGGACGUCAAAAAAUCCAAUCAUGUGUCAUGCAAUCAGCUUAUAAGAAUCAUAAUAUGAAAAGGCAAGCAUAAACUAGAAUAGAAGAUCUCAUAAGUUCAUCAUGAGAACAGCACAUCCAGCAAUGCGCUUAGCUGUAACAGAACUUGUCCGACAACUCGGGAUGAAACAAGCUCCUUAUAGAUUAAGAACUCAAUUCAUAUCACAUUCCAAGCUAUUACUUCAUUACACGAAUGGAAUGGUGCACCACUCACAAUGGUAGAAACACGUCUACAAUCUCUUAUCAUCAUGUUGGAAGACUACUAAUCCCAUUCGAAACUGCCUACUAAUGCUGUCAAUCUUGUUCAUCAAACUAAUCAAUUAAGAAAGAGAACAAAAUUUGACAAACAAAAUACACAAAAAGAGGAUGAUACUCAACAUCGUUUCUCUUUUUUGGGUUUUGGAUUUGGAUAGGAGAGUAGCAAAGUUAUAUAAAAGGUGACCGACCCUUACCCUAAAUCAAAAGGUUCAUCCUCCACCUCAAAAUCACCUAAGCGUCCUACCCAGUCAUCCAAAAGAAUCCUACUUCUUAUCAUUUCGAAAAUUAACCAAAACUCAAACCUAAUUACCUAAUAUCCAUAGCCAAAUCAAUUAAAACAUUUAGGGGUCGAACAACCUACAUAAGUUUGAUAUCUUCCAGUAGACUUCAAACGAACAAGACAAGAAUAACAACCACAUCUAUAGAAAGUGAUUCUCAUCAUUCUUCAUUUUCUUGCUGCAUGUGUGCAUCCAAGUUCAUCUAACAUUCACAAAGAACGAAAGUAAAUGGCAGGAAUUAUUUGGUUGCAAACUGCAGAUUAAAGUUGAAUGGCAGGAAUCACACUACAUGGAUGCAAACAGUUAUGCAGAGUGGAAAAUUAGAACCUGGAAACACAACUUGCUGGCACAAUACCUUGCACCAUGCAUUAUGCACUCGCAGGAUCAAAGAGCAGUUCUGUUUUUUGGGGCUUCAUUAUACAAUUCAAUGAGUUCUGGAAACUCAGUGUGGCGGAUGACAAACUUCUCCAGAAAUUUCUUCUCUGGAUAUAACAUGUAUGUGAUCAUUUGGUGGUUACCGAUGUGAACUCCCCUUGACUUCAGGACCGUCAAUAUCCGAUAUCUUGGAAUCAACCUUUUCUCCAAACUCAUCAACAAAAUCCGUGGCCGGGGUGCAAGAUAAGACGGAGCGCAUCUGGUUUCAUUUACCAAGAACUCCAUCUUUCUCUGCAAACUCUUUAAAGAAAAUCCCACAAGACAAGGAGCCUUUCUGAAUGCAGCAAGGAAAUCAUCCUUGGACCACCCGAAACCCUCGAAGAACUCCAAGUGAGCCUUGAAGUUCUUCUCGGAGACGCUUUUGAGCGCAUUCAGGGUGUGGAGGAACAUCCCUGAGGUGCGAGCUACUCCCAAACCCUCGACACGACUGAUUAACGCCUUCAGGGUUUCAGCCUUAAGGGUUCCGAGGAGUGGGCGGUACCGAAGGAUCAUUGAGAGCUUCUGAUCCGUUAUCCCGCAAUCCCUUAGAAUUUCAAUGUUAGGCUGGAUCGUCUUCUCGAUGCUAUACCCGAGAAACCACCUGUGUUUCUUGCAUACCUUCACCAGUAAGUCGUUGGACCCGAGGAGGCCUUGCCAUAAUUGGAUCUUGGACAAGAUGGUCUGGGAUUUGUAGCUGAAGGCGUGGUUAUUCGAUAUGACGAGGUGGGUGAUGUCGGAGCAGGAGAAGCCCAGAUCCUGCAAAGCUCGGAACUUUGGGGCCAGGGUCUUCUCCACGUCGAGGAGAAGCCACCGGGGGUUUGCAGAUAUGACCUUUUUCACCUGGGUGUCGUCAAAACCGUAGCUUUUAAAUAAGCCAAGGACGGAGUCAGGCUGGUGGCGGGAUUCGAUGCGGCCAAGGAGCUUCAAGGCCUUGGCCGCCUCAUCCGGAUCGAAGCCACAGGAGCUGACAAGGUAUUCGGCCAUGAGGUUGCUUUGUGGAGCCCUGGAGGCGGCGGAAUAAGAAUGGGUUGAGAGAAAAACGGCAGCAUCGGCCGGGCGACGGCGAGGGAUGAAGGUGAGGGCUUUGAACAAGAGAGAGACGUACAGCGACCUAUUCAUCAACGUCAUCGUCGUCUACUUCUCCUUCUUUGUAUGUUCCUUCUCUUCACCAAGACCUAGCGAUGGUGGUGUUGCUGCGUCUGAAGGAAACUGGCCGGAAGUACCUGCUUCCAAAACCCUAGAAGUGCGUCACUGUGUCCGAGGAACUCUUUUGUUCGGUCGGAGAUUUCUGCGACCGCAUGCUAUUUUUUUUUUCUUCGGCUACUUUUAUCGUGUGCCAACGUAAAAAAAAAAUAAAUAAAUGAACGAAUCCGAUCUACAUAAUCCUACUUAACCAUAUUUAGUUUAAUAUAACCCUAAUUUACCUCUUAUUCUUCGCAAAGUUACCUCAUAAUAAAACGAGAUAUGCUUCAUUGAUAAAGCAGAAGUUUUUAUUAUUGCAUUAGCUAAAUUCAAAGCAUUCCAAAUUGCUUUUGCAUAUUGUUCCACUAUAUAAACAUCAUAAAGCUGAAAUACUGAUCACCUGAAAUAUGUAAUUUUCAGAUCGAUAGGAUUAUCUUAGUAGAAAUAAGAUGUCAAGAAAUCUAAUUGUCUCAUGCAAUCAGCUAAAGAUAAGAAUAAUAAUGAAAAAAGAGCAUAAAUUAGAAUAAAAGAUCUCACAAAUUCAUCAUGUGAAAAGCACAUCCAUCGGUGCACUUUGCGGCAUCAAAACUCGUCUGACUGCUCAGGAUGAAGAAACCUCCUUACAGACUAAAUUCAUAUCACAUUCCCUGCUAUUAGUCCAUUACUAGGAUCAAGUGGUGCCCGGCAACAGUAGAAAUACGUCUUUCUAUAGACGCAAGGAAUAUCUUAUAAGCUUGUUUGAUGACUACUAAUCCCUUUCAAAAUUGCCUACUAAUAAUGACAAUGUUGUUCAAUCAUCCAUAUAUGUAUACAUCAACAUGCUGCACAACCAUGCAACAACAUCCUUUCACAUGCUCAAGCGUCCAACUUAUGCAUCAUGACACUUCUAACAAAUAUUAAUAUGCGUCAAUUAUAGGCUACAAUAGACGCAUCAAUAUAAAAUUGAUUGCCAAAAGAAAUAUGGUUACCAUACCAUCCAAAAGAAUCCUACUUCUUAUCAUUUGAAAAAAUAACCAAAACUCGAAACCUAAAUUACCAAAUAUCCAUAGUCAAAUCAAUUCAAAACUUCAGGUGUCCAAUAACCUACAUAAGUCUGAUAUCUUCCAGUAGACUUAAAACGAAUGGGACAAGAAUAACAAUUCCAUGUGGCCUCUACACAAAUGAUUAUCAACAAGCAAUUAACUCUAUCGGCAAUAUCAUCACAAAUCUUCUCAACAUUCUUCAUUUUCUUACUACAUGUAAGCAUCCAAACUCAUCUUACAUUCACAGAAAACGAAGUAAAUGGCAGGAAUUAUUUGGUUGCAAACUGUAGAUCAUGUUAUGCGGAUAGUGGAAAAUUGGAACCUGAAAACAUAACUUGCUGGCACAAAAGCUUGUGCUAUGCAUUAUGCAUUUCCACGAUCAAAUGCAGUUCUGUUUUUGGGGACUCCAUUAUACAACUCAAUGAGUUCUGGAUACUCCUUGUAGCAGUUGACGAACUUCUCCAGAAAUUGUUUCUCUGUAUAUUUCAUGUAUGUCAAUAUACUAAGGUUACUGAUGCAAACUCCCCUAGACUUCAGGCCUGUCACAAUCCGAUGCCUUGGCAUCAACUUUUUCUCCAAACUCAUCAACAAAAAAUCUGGCCGAAGUGCAAGAUAAGAUGGAGCACAUCCAGCUUCANNNNNNNNNNNNNNNNNNNNUUCGAUCUGACGAGGUGGGUGAUGUCGGAGCAGGAGAAGCCCAGAUCCUGCAAAGCUCGGAACUUUGGGGCCAGGGUCUUCUCCACGUCGAGGAGAAGCCACCGGGGGUUUGCAGAUAUGACCUUUUUCACCUGGGUGUUGUCAAAACCGUAGCUUUUAAAUAAGCCAAGGACGGAGUCAGGCUGGUGGCGGGAUUCGACGCGGCCAAGGAGCUUCGAGGCUUUGGCCGCCUGAUCAGGAUGGAAGCCACAGGAGCUGACCAGGUAUUCAGCCAUAAGGCUGCUCUCUGGAGCACCGGAGGCGGCGGAAUAAGAAUGGGUUGCGAGAAAAAGGGCAGCAUUGGCCGGACGACAGCAAGGGACGAAGGCAAGGGCUUUGGACAAGAGAGAGACGUAGGGCGACCUAUUCAUCAUUGUCAUCGUCUUCUUCUUCUUUGUAGGUUCCUUCUCUUUACCAAAACCAAGCGAAGGUGGCGUAGCUGCGUAUAGAGGAGCGCGUUUAGGCCGGAAGUACCUGCGUCUUAAACCCUAGAAGUGCGUUACCGUAUUCGACAUUUUUCUUUCGGGCGGAGAUUACUGCGACCGCAGGCGUCUUUUUUUUUUUCUUAAGUUUGUUGAGGGGAGAAAAAACUUUUAUUGCGUGCGAACUAAAGAUAAUAAAAGGUGUUCUUUUAGAAAAAAUUUGCACUAUUAUUUUUUUUAUCUAGGGUUUAUUUUUUAUAGUUAGAACAAAAAUAUACCAUUAAUCUUCUAUUAAAAAUGACUUGAUCAGCUAUUAAAAAAUUGAUAAUUAAUUAUCAAAAAAUUUAAAAAAUAUAAAAAGCUAUGCUAAUCAUUUUAAAAUCAAUAGAUAUGGAUUGAAGAUGAUUAAUAUCUAUUUUUUAAAAAAAUAUCAAAUUAUAAUUUAUUUAAAUAAUAUCUAUGAUUAAGUCACAUAAGUUCAAAAUAUAAGAGUGUUUUUUGUCUAUAUAAAAAAUACCUAAGUAAAAAUGAAUAUGGAGGGUUUUAUCGAUAAAAAAAACUAAUACGAGAAAUCAUCUUUUUUAUAAAAGACCCAACAUAAAUGAAUGAAUGCUAGAAAACAACUUAUUCGUCGUAAAAUUUGAUGGAUUAAUACAUAUGCUACUCUAAUUAUCAAGUUAAAGUCAACAAUAAAAAAUUCUGCUCAUUGUUGACUUAAGAAUCUACUCAAUAGAUUUUCACCAAAUAGGGAAAGAUAGAGACUCGCAAACACGUCAACUAUCUUGCUACUGAGAAUUGCUACAAACAUAUACUAUCUAUCAAACAAAGCCCAAGGCAGCUUUUAUGUAGAAAUUAAUAAUAAUUUGAUGAUCAUGUUCAUACUAAAAAUAAAAAGUCAUUCAUCACAUAAUCAUUAACUUGUUAUAUCCAUAUCAAGAUUAAGAAGGUGUACCCUGAUUACCUUUGAUUUAUAAUCGAUAAUAUUUGAUUUAACAUAUUGACAAGUAUUGUAAUUGUUAUAAAUAUCCUUAUACGGAAUCAAAUAGUUUGAGUAAUAUAUCUCACCUUUAUAAAGGUUUCUUCUCAUCUUUAUUAUUUUUUAAUAUCGGAGAAUUAUUCUGUCAGCUUAAGGGAUUUAUAUAUCACUAGCUUACUUUUAAUGCAAAGUAACUCAAAAUCUCAUAUCUCAAAAUUGUUAGAAUAUAUGGCUCUUUAUAAUAGAAUAAGAUAUAUAAUAAAAUUAAUUAGAUUUUGAUGUCGGAUAUUAGUCAAUAAAAAGGAGUAUGGGCCAAGUGGGAAAAUAUCUUAUUAAUUAAUGGGUUAAGUGGGAGAAUAUCAAAAUAUAUUAUCCUUUAUAAUUGAAUAAGAUGUAUAAUAAUUCUGAUAAUGGAUAUUAGCUAAUAGAAAAGAAGUUCAUAUUAUAGUAUGAUUCCUUAGGGGACGCCCUUGAUGAGAGGACUCUCAUAAUUACUUAACAUAGACCCUCUAAUCUUACAUAUAAAUAGAUAGGACCUCCUAGGGACUAAUGACAUGAUGUUUAUGUGAUGUGAUGACCGUGGACACAUAUACAAGAUACGAUAGGUGACAUUGAGAGAUUACGAUUUCUUUCUCAUCCUCUCUUGUCUCUAAACCAUUAAUAACUAUAGUCUUGUGAAAAGGUAGAAAGAGAUGANNNNNNNNNNNNNNNNNNNNNNNNNNNNNNNNNNNNNNNNNNNNNNNNNNNNNNNNNNNNNNNNNNNNNNNNNNNNNNNNNNNNNNNNNNNNNNNNNNNNNNNNNNNNNNNNNNNNNNNNNNNNNNNNNNNNNNNNNNNNNNNNNNNNNNNNNNNNNNNNNNNNNNNNNNNNNNNNNNNNNNNNNNNNNNNNNNNNNNNNNNNNNNNNNNNNNNNNNNNNNNNNNNNNNNNNNNNNNNNNNNNNNNNNNNNNNNNNNNNNNNNNNNNNNNNNNNNNNNNNNNNNNNNNNNNNNNNNNNNNNNNNNNNNNNNNNNNNNNNNNNNNNNNNNNNNNNNNNNNNNNNNNNNNNNNNNNNNNNNNNNNNNNNNNNNNNNNNNNNNNNNNNNNNNNNNNNNNNNNNNNNNNNNNNNNNNNNNNNNNNNNNNNNNNNNNNNNNNNNNNNNNNNNNNNNNNNNNNNNNNNNNNNNNNNNNNNNNNNNNNNNNNNNNNNNNNNNNNNNNNNNNNNNNNNNNNNNNNNNNNNNNNNNNNNNNNNNNNNNNNNNNNNNNNNNNNNNNNNNNNNNNNNNNNNNNNNNNNNNNNNNNNNNNNNNNNNNNNNNNNNNNNNNNNNNNNNNNNNNNNNNNNNNNNNNNNNNNNNNNNNNNNNNNNNNNNNNNNNNNNNNNNNNNNNNNNNNNNNNNNNNNNNNNNNNNNNNNNNNNNNNNNNNNNNNNNNNNNNNNNNNNNNNNNNNNNNNNNNNNNNNNNNNNNNNNNNNNNNNNNNNNNNNNNNNNNNNNNNNNNNNNNNNNNNNNNNNNNNNNNNNNNNNNNNNNNNNNNNNNNNNNNNNNNNNNNNNNNNNNNNNNNNNNNNNNNNNNNNNNNNNNNNNNNNNNNNNNNNNNNNNNNNNNNNNNNNNNNNNNNNNNNNNNNNNNNNNNNNNNNNNNNNNNNNNNNNNNNNNNNNNNNNNNNNNNNNNNNNNNNNNNNNNNNNNNNNNNNNNNNNNNNNNNNNNNNNNNNNNNNNNNNNNNNNNNNNNNNNNNNNNNNNNNNNNNNNNNNNNNNNNNNNNNNNNNNNNNNNNNNNNNNNNNNNNNNNNNNNNNNNNNNNNNNNNNNNNNNNNNNNNNNNNNNNNNNNNNNNNNNNNNNNNNNNNNNNNNNNNNNNNNNNNNNNNNNNNNNNNNNNNNNNNNNNNNNNNNNNNNNNNNNNNNNNNNNNNNNNNNNNNNNNNNNNNNNNNNNNNNNNNNNNNNNNNNNNNNNNNNNNNNNNNNNNNNNNNNNNNNNNNNNNNNNNNNNNNNNNNNNNNNNNNNNNNNNNNNNNNNNNNNNNNNNNNNNNNNNNNNNNNNNNNNNNNNNNNNNNNNNNNNNNNNNNNNNNNNNNNNNNNNNNNNNNNNNNNNNNNNNNNNNNNNNNNNNNNNNNNNNNNNNNNNNNNNNNNNNNNNNNNNNNNNNNNNNACUAAUGACAUGAUUGUUUAUGUGAUGUGAUGACCGUGGACACAUAUACAAGAUACGAUAGGUGACAUUGAGAGAUUACGAUUUCUUUCUCAUCCUCUCUUGUCUCUAAACCAUUAAUAACUAUAGUCUUGUGAAAAGGUAGAAAGAGAUGAGGAGUGUUUAGUUCUCCUUGUAGAUUGACAUUUGAUAUAGAUGAUUUUGCCCCACACAAACUCAUUUGCCACUAAGGCCAACAUGAGAGUUCCAGGUAACCAACUCCGAAAUGGCACCAUAGUGCAUUCUGAUAACCACCCUACCUUAUUAAGAUCAAAGAAUGAUAAGGUGAUUCAACUAAUUUUAUCCAAGGCCAGCCAGUAAAAGACCCAGGGAUCAAGUAUAAAAAGGAACUCAUUAACUCACGCUGAGAGGGGGGACUUUCUACAUACUAACCUAGUCAUACAGCUUACGCUACUAUCUUUUUUCUUUCGCUGACUUAAGCAUCGGAAGGGAUGCGUUAGGCAACCCACAAUGUUGGCCUAUCAUGCAAGAUUGCUAACGGUCAAGAGAUGACAUCACUGUUAGGACACAACCAUGCAACCACGAGACAAUCCUUCAUUCGAGGACACAUGGAUGACCCAACCCUAGGGAAGAACCUCACAACUAAGAAGACUCCAAACCUCCUACCCGAUCAUCCUGAAUCGGGUCCUCGCCAAUAGAAUGAAGUCCGAUCAGACCGCCUAUGCUGUCUCACUCAUCAGGUCACCCACAUCAGUCAAGAAAAGGCACCUGGGCAAACUUGCACCUUCGAUAGUGGAUCAACCGUGUUGAGUUAUCAAUCGAUGGUAUUCAUGACACCAUCAAUAUCCUUAUAAUAUUUGAAUCUGAGGAUGGUGAUCCUACAUACAUAGAGAAUUUUUCAGAUAACUUUGAAGGUAUGUAAUAUAAAUCUAAUAUAUGUUAUUUAAUUUCAAUCCCAAUAUUAAAAUUAAUAUAUAGCAUAUAAUAUAUUUUAUGCCGGAAACUUGAUAGUGGAUCAAUCGUGCUGAGUUAUCAGUCGACGGUACUCAUGAUACCAUCAAUAUUUUUAUAAUAUUCGAAUAUAAGGAGGAUGCUGAUCCAAUAGAGAAUUUUUCACAUGACUUUGAAAGAUAUGUAAUAUAAAUCUAAUAUAUAUUAUUUGAUUUCAAUCCCGAUAUUAAAAUUAAUAUAUAACAUAUAAUAUAUUUUAUGCUUGGAACUUGCUAUGUGCCCUCUUUCCCUCUUCUUUCGACCCUUUAUAUCGCUCUGCAAAUAAUCAUUAUUACACUCCAAAAGCUAACGGUAAACGAAGCAAAAGAGGCAAAUGGAACAAAAGACCAGUCUUGGGACCCUGUCCUGUUUCUAUGUUGUCCCAGAAAGCCAGGUACCUUAAAAGAUUUUUCUUUGUCUCUGGAAUAGUUAAACAUGGCCAAAUUAAAUUAAGAUUUUGUCAGUAGAGAAGACAGCAGAACAUAACUAAAACUUGAGCAAAACCAAGUGAAGAAUUGGUAAAUGAAUGCUUAUAUUUUACCUUGAUUCAAAGUACCGAUGCUGAACCCAUAUCUUGCCAAUGAAGUAGGAUGAAUUCAACCUCGGUUGUAAAGUAAGAGCAGGAGUUAAAAGAAUGGAAGCCAGCCAUGGCCUUUUGCAGAGGAGACGAUCAGACGAAUCCUUGUGAGCUAGGAGAUUGGAGGUGGGGUAAGCCAACAUCAUCAUCCACAUGGCCAAUAAUUGUGUUCAGGUUAGAUAAGAUUCUAUGAGAAACUCACGUGCCUCAUUACGGUUAACUUGUUAGAUUUACCAUUUCGUUUGGAUCAGCAGAUAAAUCCAUCCAAAAGAUAACAAGGAUUUGAAGCCUUUGCUGUGUGUGUGAUCUCUAGUAUGUUGUCUGAUCUAAGUGGAGGAAGAUAAAAAAUAAAAUACAAGUUAAUAUAUCAUAUGCUUAAGAAAGUUCCAAAUAAGUUCCCAUGAUUUUCCAUUUGAUUUUUAUGGAAUUCGACAAAACAAGUUCCUUUUGGAGUUAGCAUUCUAAACCGUGCACUGAGGUGGAGCAUUGUGAUGAUGAGAUUAAACUGACUAGCACAGAAUAAAAAGAGCGAAGUUUUAGUUUCUAUAGUGAAAAUGAUGGAAGGGGUGCUAAUAACUUAUGAAAUGUGUAUGCUAAUAAGUUUUAGUUUCUAUGGUAUUUUUAAAUAACGUUAUAGUGUUUUUGUAAGGUGUAAAGCCAUUGAAAAAUAUCAGUUAUAGUAUUUUCAAUUGCAGCAUCAGAGAGUUCCCCUCUUCCCAACACCUGUUUACCUAACAACGAGCAUGAAUAUAUGCCUAUGACCAAAAAAUUCCAUUUGGUGUCUGCAAAAUAUGGCGGCAAACACUAAAUCCGGUGAAGAAAUGAAUGCCAUUUGCCCUUCGCUUGCAUCUCAUAGGUGCAAAAGAAGGGGAAAAGAAUCUGGGCAUAAAAUCUAGUUAGCUAGAAUUUGGAUGCUUUCAUCUCCAGAAUCUAUCUUUUUAUCUUUUCUUAAAUAUCAGUGAAUUCAAUGUAGAAGGCAUUGCAGUUUUCUUCCUGUUUCUUCCUUUCUUUUCUUUUAGAAAAACAAAAGGAUGAUGAGAAUAUGCACAUUUUGGUUAUAUAUUCUCAACAAUGAUUUGAGAAUAAGAACAAUGAAAUGACUGCAGACAGGACCAAUAUCUAUGUUUUCAGAAAUAACAACUGAUAAGUCGUCAAAUGAACAGCUGUGCUGUGUGCAUUAGUCUUUAUAAAGUAUAAAUUCCACAUCAUACUUCACUUGAUCACCAUCAAUAUGGUGGAAACAAAUUUAAAAGAAAGUUCAGUUUGAUAUGAUGUAAAACAAGAUAUCUCAUUCUUGGUUUGAUCUAAUUCCAAAAAUUUAUGCUCAGAUCUAUAUCAUUUCUUAAGUAUAUUUGAACACACAACAAUAACAAUAUCAGAAAUCUUAAAUUCGGGAAGCAGGGAUGAUACCGCAUUACCAACAAAACCUGAUAAUAACGAGAAAAAAUAAAUAGAUCUUGUUUAGCGAGCAAUUUUAGAGGGCAUAAAAACCUAGAACAUAUAUAGUUCUACAAGUUGAAAGGAUCUCAGUCCUUCUAGAGACAAAAUCUCCCACAAAAAGUAUCAAGCCUUGCAAAGAGCAACAGUCCUUUACUACUGAAAGAACCUGACCCUAUCCAGCUGCUAGUUCUGAGGCAGUACAGUACAUGUAUAAUUCUUCGCUGAUAACGAGUCAAGCCUUUGUUAGGUAAACAUCUCUACGAUGAUCAACAUGCGAUAGGGUGCAAGUCAUCUAAAACUUCUCUUGAUCCCGAUAACUCAACAAGAGUAAGCAGUGCUUCAGUUUAAUUUAACCAAGUACAUACCAGCCAGAGACACUGCUGUUAAUUCUCCAAGGCCAAUAAUGUAUGAAUACCUAAGAAAAAGCACAAUGCAAAAGAUUGGAACUAGGACACAUACAACAUUUACUGGAGAUUAGCAUGCUACAAUACCUCAGGGAAGUUAUAUUGACGUAUUUGUCCAGAGACAACAAUACAACAAAGUCUUAAGAAAAGGAACACACCAAAAUAUUAAAAAUCGGACGAAUGGCUGAGACUAGCAUGCUAUACUAUAACAGAAUAGCAAAAAUAAGAAUCUGGAGAACCAUUAGGCAAUAAAUUCGAGAUUACAUGUUGCCAUUAGGCAAUAAAUUUAGAUAUGCUCUAUUGUCACAUUGAAGCACAAGUUUGUAACAUAAAAACAACCUGCAUAAUUUGACAUAUUAACUAGACUUCCAGAUCACAUUUUUGUUUGAUAGCUAUUACAGCUUUGACAAAAAUAAGACACCGAACAAAGGAUGCAAAAGAAACAUAUAGUAGCAAAAGCCAAAAAAGUUGAAAUGUGGAUUUUCAUAGUACAUAAACCAGUAUAACUACAUAUCAUAAAUAUAACCAAAGAUUCUAACCGUUAGAAAUAUCUUGACUUCAGUCUGACUGUGGGCAAAAUAUGUUUCAGGAAGGCUGAAAUUGGUGUCAUCUGACAGCGGACAAAAUACAUUUUGGGAAGGGAGAAAUUGGCCUACAAGAAGUCAGCAAGUCUCAUUUCUCUUUCAUUACAUGAAGGCUGGCAAAGGUUGAAUUCUCCCUAGCAAAGUAACUCCUAGAAUUAUAUUUCCUUUUCCAAUUUGUUCAACAUAUCCUUACUAAUGUAAUCAAACUAGCACACUGCAGAUGCCAAACUCUGGAAGGUAACACAUACUAAAACAGCAAUUUCCAAGAACCUUGUUAAUCCACUUCUUUUGCACCAGACACUCCGCAAAUGGAGCUAACACCCCAAGUAUUUUUUAUUGAUAAGAACAAUUUAUGAUCGAUACAACACAGCCUCUGGACAGCAACACCUACUAAAAUAGCGAUUUCCGAGAACACUGCUAAUCCACUUCUUUUGCACCAAACACCCAGUAAAUGGAGCAAACAAUCAAGUACUUUUGAUUGAUAGGAACAUUUUAUGCACCGAACACUCAAUAUGACCCAACCUAAAAAAUGAGAGGAUCACACCCUCUGUAAACUUAUGAUCCAGACAUCUGUAACGCACAGAGCACAAUAAUAAUAUUCAUUGACAAUAAUGGAAAAUGCAUCCCAUCAAGUCUCAUCAUUAUUACUGGCGUACACAUCUAACUGUACAUUUAUUAAAUUUCAGAUAACAAUCUUCACAUUGCUAGAACCGAACACUUCUCAAUCCUUAGCUCCUCAACUACUGAUCAUCUGAAAUAUGUAAUUUUCAGAUCGAUAGGGAUUUUCUUAGUAGAAACAAGACGUCAAGAAAUCUAGUUGUGUCUCAUGCAAUCAGCUAAAGAUAAGAAUAAUAAUGAAAAAAUAGAAUAAAUUAGAAUAAAAGAUCUCACAAAUUCAUCAUGAGAAAAGCACAUCCAUCAGUGCACUUUGCUGCAUUGGAACUCGUCCGACUGCACAGAAUGAAGCAACCUCCUUAUAGACCAAAUUCAUAUCACAUUCCCUGGUAUUAGUCCAUUACUAAGAUCAAGUGGUGCCUGGAAACAGUGGAAAUAUGUCUUUCUAUAGUUGCAAGGAAUAUCUUAUAAGCUUGUUUGACGACUACUAAUCCCUUUCAAAAUUGCCCCCUAAUAAUGACAAUGUUGUUCAAUCAUCCAUAUAUGUGUAUAUCAACAAGCUGCACAACCAUGCAACAACAUCCUUUCACAUUUUCAAGCGUCCAGCUUAUGCAUCAUGGCACUUCUAACAAAUAUUAAUGUGCGUCAAUUAUAGGCAAUAAUAGAUUGCCAAAAGAAAUAUGAACUAAUAACAGCAUAUUAAAAUUUCAUCAUGUCAGCAUACAGAGAAUCUAGGUUUUAUGAGGCACCUAACACUAUAUUGAUCAUCCAAAUUGGAUACAGAGUCCAAAAAAGUUAUUAUCGAUUUACAAUUCAGUCCUUGAAAUUUACAAUCAUUUCUUCAUUACAUUGCAAACCAGUCCCUAGCAGUCUUAAUGGGCAGGACCUUAGGCUGCCAUGUGGAACUUGGUCUCACAGGCCGGACCACAUGGAGUUGGCCUGUCUGAGCUGAAGUGCAUGAAGUUUAGACCACCCUCGUACUCAAAUGCUUAAAUUGGUAAAGGACAACUUGCAUAUUCCAGUGCUUAAAUUGAGAACAAAACAUUGUCAAUACGGAAAGUGUGGUUUCCUUCAUAAAUCUAAGAGUUACAACUUCAUACUCAAGAAGACAGUCAGCUGCAACCUAUCAUGGUGGCAACCUGGUAUUCAUUAAGGUUUUGCAUUUAUAAAGAGAGAAAUUUCAACUGAAUUGACCGAUCAGCAUGAGGAAAAAAGUGGUUCAAACUAAUCACUUAAGAAAGAGAACAAAGUUUGAUAAACAAAAUAUACAAAAAAUUGAAACCCAACCUCAUCUCCCUUUUUCGGGUUUUGGGUUUGGUUUUGAAUAGGAGGGACUUUAGUAAAUUUAUAUAAAAGGUGACCAACCCUUGCGCUAAAUCAAAAGCCUCAUCAUCCAGCUCAAAAUCACCAAAGCAUCCUACCAUACCAUCCAAAAGAAUCCUACUUCUUAUCAUUUGAUAAAAUAACCAAAACUCGAAACCUAAAUUACCAAUUAUCCAUAGUUAAAUCAAUUCAAAACUUCAGGUGUCCAAUAACCUACAUAAGUCUGAUAUCUUCCAGUAGACUUAAAACGAAUGGGACAAGAAUAACAAUUCCAUGUGGAGUCUACACAAGUGAUUAUCAACAAGCAAUUAACUCUAUCGGCAAUAUCAUCACAAAUCUUCUCAACAUUCUUCAUUUUCUUACUACAUGUAAGCAUCCAAACUCAUCUUACAUUCACAGAAAACAAAGUAAAUGGCAAGAAUUAUUUGGUUGCAAACUGUAUAUCAUGUUAUGCAGAUAGUUGAAAAUUGGAACCUGGAAACAUAACUUGCUGGUACAAAAGCUUGUGCUAUGCAUUAUGCAUUUCCACGAUCAAAGUGCAUUUCUGUCUUUGGGGGCUACAUUAUACAACUCAAUGAGUUCUGGAUACUCCUUGUAGCAGUUGACGAACUUCUCCAGAAAUUGUUUCUCUGGAUAUUUCAUGUAUGAAAAUAUACUAAGGUUACUGAUGCAAACUCCCCUAGACUUCAGACCUGUCACAAUCCGAUGCCUUGGCAUCAACCUUUUCUCCAAACUCAACAACAAUAAAUCUGGCCGAAAUGCAAGAUAAGAUGGAGUACAUCCGGCUUCAUUUACCAAGAACUCCAUCUUCCUCUGCAAACUCUUUAAAGAAAAUCGCACAAACGUAGGAGCCUUUCUGAAUGCAGCAAGGAAAUCAUCCUCGGACCACCCGAAGCCCUUGAAGAACUCCAAGUGAGCCUUGAAGUUAUUCUCGGAGACGCUCUGGAGCACACUCAGGAUCACGAGGAACAUCCCCGAGGUGCGAGGUACUCCCAAAACCUCGACACGGCUGAUUAACGCCUUCAGGGUUUCAGCAUUCCGGGUUAUGAGGAGGGGAUAUUGCCGUAGGAUCAUUGAGAGCUUCUGAUCCGUCAUCCCGCAAUCCCUUAGAAUUUCAAUGUUAGGCUGGAUCGUCUUCUCGAUGCUAUACCCGAGUAACCACCUGUUUCUCUUCCAUAUCUUCAUCAGUAAGUCGUUGGACCCGAGGAGGCCUUGCCAUAAUUGGAUCUUCGACAAGAUGGUCUGGGAAUUGUCGCUGAUGACGUCGUUANNNNNNNNNNNNNNNNNNNNNNNNNNNNNNNNNNNNNNNNNNNNNNNNNNNNNNNNNNNNNNNNNNNNNNNNNNNNNNNNNNNNNNNNNNNNNNNNNNNNNNNNNNNNNNNNNNNNNNNNNNNNNNNNNNNNNNNNNNNNNNNNNNNNNNNNNNNNNNNNNNNNNNNNNNNNNNNNNNNNNNNNNNNNNNNNNNNNNNNNNNNNNNNNNNNNNNNNNNNNNNNNNNNNNNNNNNNNNNNNNNNNNNNNNNNNNNNNNNNNNNNNNNNNNNNNNNNNNNNNNNNNNNNNNNNNNNNNNNNNNNNNNNNNNNNNNNNNNNCGGCGGAAUAAGAAUGGGUUGCGAGAAAAAGGGCAGCAUCGGCCGGACGACAGCAAGGGACGAAGGCAAGGGCUUUGGACAAGAGAGAGACGUAGGGCGACCUAUUCAUCAAUGUCAUCGUCUUCUUCUUCUUCUUCUUCUUCUUCUUUGUAGGUUCCUUCUCUUUACCAAAACCUAGCGAAGGUGGCGUAGCUGCGUAUAGAGGAGCGCGUUUAGGCCGGAAGUACCUGCGUCUUAAACCCUAGAAGUGCGUUACCGUGUUCGACAUUUUUUUUUCGGGCGGAGAUUACUGCGACCGCAGGCAUCUUUUUUUUCUUCGUCAACUUUUAGUUUGUUGAGGGGAGAAAAAACUUUUAUUGCGUGCCAACUAAAGAUAAUAAAAGGUGUUCUUUUAGAAAAAAGUUGCACUAUUAUUUUUUUAUCUUGGGUGUAUUUUUUAUAGUUAGAACAAAAAUAUACCCUUAAUCUUCUAUUAAAAAUGACUUGAUCAGCUAUUAAAAAAUUGAUAAUUAAUUAUCAAACAAAUUUUAAAAAAUAUAAAAAGCUAUACUAAUCAUUUUAAAAUCAAUAGAUAUGUAUCGAAGAUGAUUAAUAUCUAUUUUUUAUUUUAAAAACUUUAUAAUUAAUUAUCAAAUUAUAAUUUAUUUAAAUAAUAUAUAUGAUUAAGUCACAUAAGUUAAAAAUAUAAGAGUGUUUUUUGUCUAUAUAAAAAAUACCUAAGUAAAAAUGAAUAUGGAGGAUUUCAUCGAUAAAAAAAACUAAUACUAAAAAUUAUUUUUUUUAUAAAAGACCCAACAUAAAUGAAUGAAUGUUAUAAAAUAACUUAUUCGUCAUAAAAUUUGAUGGAUUAAUACAUAUGCUACUCUAAUUAUCAAGUUAAAGUUAAUAAUAAAAAAUUCAUGUAAUCUUUAAUGUCAUCGUAACCAUCAACUAUUUAUGAUGUGAAUGGAAAACCUACUCAUUAUUCACUUAAAAAUCUAUUCAAUAGAUUUUCACCGUAUAGGGAACCAAUAGAGACUCACAAACACGUCGACUAUCUUGCUACUGAGAAUUAAUACAAACAUAUGCUAACUAUGAAACAAAGCCCAAGGCAACUUCUAUCUAGAAAUUAAUAAUCAUUAGAUGAUCAUAUUCAUACUAAAAAUAGAAAGUCAUUCAUCUCAUUAAGAAGGUGCACCUUGAUAAUUACUUUUGAUUUAGAAUCGAUUAUAUUUGAUUUAACAUAUUGACAAGCAUUGUAAUUGUUAUGAAUAUCCUUCUACGGAAUCAAAUAGUUUGCAUAAUAUAUCUCACAUUUAUAAAGGCUUCUUCUCAUAUUUAUUAUUUUUCAAUAUCGAAGAAUUAUUCUGUCAGCUUAAGGGAUUUAUACUUGAUCUAGCAGGCUCUUUAUGCAAAGUAACUCAAAAUCUCUUUUCAAUUUGUAUCUCAAAAUUGUUAUAAUACCUGACUGUUUUUAAUGGUUCUUUAUAAUUGAAUAAGAUAUAUAAUAAAAUUAAUUAGAUUUUGAUAACGGAUAUUAGUUAAUAGAAAGAAGUAUCAAAAUAGGGCCAAGUGGGAAAAUAUCUUAUUAAUUAAUGAGUUAAGUGAGAGAAUAUCAAAAUAUAUGACCCUUUAUAAUUAAAUAAGAUAUCUAAUAAAACCGAUUGAAUUCUGAUAACGGAUAUUAGCUAAUAGAAAGGAAGUUGAUAUUAUAAUAUGAUUCCUUAUGGUACGCACUUGAUGAGAGGACUCUCAUAAUUACUUAUCAUAUACCCUCUAAUCUCGCAUAUAAAUAGAUAGAACCUCCUAGGUCUAAUGACAUGAUGUUUAUGUGACGUGAUGAUCGUGGACACAUACAUAAGAUACGAUAGGUGACAUUGAGAGAUUACGGUUCCUUUCUCAUCAUCUCUUAUCACUGAACUAUCAAUAACUAUAGUCUUGUGAAAAUGUAGACAGAGAUGGGAAGUGUUUAGUUCUCUUUGUAGAUCAAUAUUUGAUAUAGAUGUUUUUGCUCCACACAAACUCAUCUGCCACUAAGGCCAACAAGAGAGUUCCAGGUCACCAGCUCCAAAAUGGCACCAUAGUACAUUCUGAUAACCAUCCUACUUUAUUAAGAUCAAAGAAUGAUCAGGUGAUUCAACUAAUCUUAUCCAAGGCUAGCUAAUAAAAGGCCUAGGGAUUAAGUAUAAAAAAGAAACUCAUUAACUCAAGCUAAGAGGGGGGACUUUCUACGUACUAACCUAGUUAUACAACUUACACCACUAUCUUUUCCCUUUCGCUGACUUAAGCAUCGGAAGGGAUGCGUUGGGCAACUCCCAAUACUGGCCUAUCAUGCAAGAUUGCUAAUGGCCAAGAGACGACAUCACUCUUAGGAUGCAGCCAUGCAACCACGAGACAAUCCUUCAUUCGAGGACACAUGGAUGACCCAACCCCAGGGAAGAACGUCGCAACCAAGAAGACUCCAAACCCCCUACCCGAUCAUCCCGAAUCGGGUCCUCACCAAUAGAACGAUGUCUGAUCGGACCGCCUAUGUUGUCUCACUCAUCGGGUCACCCACAUCAGUCAAGAAAAGGCACCUGGGUAAACUUGCACCUUCGAUAGUGGAUCAACCGUGUUGAGUUAUUAGUCGAUGGUACUCAUGACACCAUCAAUAUCCUUAUAAUAUUUGAAUAUGAGGAUGGUGAUCCUACAUAGAUAGAGAAUUUUUUAGAUGACUUUGAAAGGUGUGUAAUAAAAUCUAAUAUAUCUUAUUUGAUUUCAAUCCCGAUAUUAAAAUUAAUAUAUAGCAUAUAAUAUAUUUUAUGCUUGGAACUUGCUAUGUGUCCUCUUUCCCUCUUCUUUCUACCCUUUACAUCUCUCUACAAUAAUCAUUAUUACAAUCCAAAAGCUAACCGUAAAUUAAGCAAAAGAGGUAAAUGGAACAAAAAACCACUUUUGGGACCCUGCCCUGUUUCUAUGUUGUCCCAAAAAGCCAAGUACCUAAAAAGCUUUUUCUUUGUCUCUAGAAUAGCUAAACAUGGCCAAAUUAAGUUGAGAUUUUGGCAGCAGAGAAGAGCGGAACAUAACUAAAACUUGUGCAAAACCAAGUGAAGAAUUGGUAAAUGAGUGCUUAUAUUUUACCUUGAUUUAAAGUAUCGAUGCUGAACCCACAUCUUGCCAAUGAAGUAUAAUGAAUUCAACCUCAAUCGUAAAGUAAGAACAGGAGGUAAAAGAAUGAACGCCAACCAUGGCCAUUUGCAAAGGAGAUGAUCAAACGAAUCCUUGCGUGCUAGGAGAUUGGAGGUGGGUUAAGCCAACACCAUCAUCCACAUACCCAAUAAUUACGCUCAGGUUAGAUAAGAUUCCAUGAGAAACUCACAUGCCUCAUUACGGUUAACUUGUUAGAUUUACCACUUCGUUUGGAUCAGAAGAUAAAUCCAUCCAGUAGAUAACAAGGAUUUGAAGCCCUUGCUCUGUGUAUGUAAUCUCUAGUGUGUUGUCAGAUCUAAGUCGAGGAAGAUAAAAGACACGAGAUGUAUGAGUUGAUAUAUCAUAUGCUUAAGAAAGUUCAAAAUAAUUUCUCAUGAUUUUCCAUUAGAUUAUUGUGGAAUUCCAAGUCGUAGACAAAGCAUGUACCUUUUGGAGUUCUUCGUACGUACACAAUAUCUUGUGACAGACAUCUUUAUUAAGAUCUUUGGUUAUUUGCAGACAAAAGAUAAGUACUGCACAGACGAAGGAUCAUAAGCACACUUCGUUAACCCAAGAAACCUGACUGAUUUGUACUCAUGUAAAGACUGAUCAUAAAGUAAGCAUUCUAAACCGUGCACUGAGAUGGAGCAUUGUGGUGAUGAGAUUAAACUGACUAACCCAGAAUUAAAAAGUAAAGAUUUAAUUUCUACAAUGAAAAUGAUGGAAGAGGUGCUAAUAACUUGUGAAAUGUGUAUGCUUUGAUAUGCAUUUGAUGGAGUUGUGUGCAUGCAUCAAAACCAAAUUUCAGUUGUCAGAUAUCAUUACUGAUUUGUUGGUAAUUAGUUCCACAAAUUGUUAUACCAGCUUGGGAAAAGAAUCUGUACAUGUCAUAACAUGUUAGAACAAUAAACACCAUGAUCUUAUAAAAGAAAAGUACUCGUUCUUUAAUCCUAUGUGGAAGGUCUCAUAAAAAACUUGAACAAUUUUAUGAAAAAACUUCACAUUUUAUUUUUUUAAAAAAAAUUGUAAAUAUUUUUCCCUUUUUUUUUUUCCGAACAUGAGCAUAUUGAUCCAAAAUGGUGCACUAAUCUAAAUAGAUAGAUUUGAUCAUUUAAGGCUGGGAGUCCAUUUAGAUGAUUUAUAAUAUUUAUAAAUAGAUUUUAUAGUAUUUUUGUUGUGAUGAUCGAAACAUUAUAAAAGGUUAAACAUUAUAGGCUUGUAAUUAGUUUGAUUGAGGUUUAGUUUAUUUAUGGUAUGCUUUACAAUAUUUUUCAUGGCUAAUAAAAACAUUAUAAUAAACUAAUUUUUUACUCCUAUUUGGAUGAUAUUAUUAUUAAAUUAUUAUAAAUACAUAGUAUGAUAUAUCAAAUUAUUUCUAGUGUGUUUGGAUUUCUCAGUUAUAGUAUUUUUAAAUAACGUUAUAGUGUUUUUGUAAGGUGUAAAGCCAUUGAAAAAUAGUAUUUUUCAAUUGUUCAUCUUUGAUUAUCAUUGAUCGUAGAUCAUUACAGCCUAUAGUUGGUUUGACCGAGUCCAUUUGGGUCAUUUAUAAUAUUUUUAUUAUUAUGAUCAAAAUACUAUAAAAAUUAAUUUUUGAUCCUCAGUAAUGAUCAUGCUACUGUACAAAACCAAUCAAUCAACUUGGAUUCACACACCUAUAGAUCGGUCUAAAAGGUAUCCAUGAAAUUAGCGGGAAAAAUAUCAUUGAGACCGGUAAGAGAUACUUUCGGUAUUAUUCAAAAUAGAAGGGAGAAACAUGAGACAUAAUUUAGAAUAAUAAUAAUAAUAAUAAUAAUAAUAAUAAUAAUAAUAAUAAUAAUAAUAAUAAUAAUAAUAAUAAUAAUAAUAAUAAUAAAAGAGAGCUUUUGCUGACAAACAAAUUCCUUGAUUUGUGCGCUGUAGUUGUAGGGUCAUUUAGACUUUGCAGCAUCAGAGAGUUCCCCUCUUCCCAACUCCUGUUUACUUAACAAUGAGCAUGAAUAUACGCCUACGACCAAAAAUUCCAUUUGGCGCCCGCAAAAUAUGGCUGCAGAAACUAAAUCCGGUGAAGAAAUGAAUGCCAUUUGCCCUUCACUUGCAUCUCAUAGGAGCAAAAGAAGGGGAAAAGAAUCUGGGCAUAAAAUCUAGUUAGCUAGAGUUUGGAUGCUUUCAUCUCAAGAAAUCUCUCUUUUUAUAUUUUCUUAAAGUUCAGUAGAUUCAAUGUAGAAGGCAUUGCAAUUUUCUACCUGUUUCUUCCUUUCUAUCUUUUCUUUUGGAAAAACAAAAGGAUGGCCAGAAUAUGCACAUUUUGGUUAUAUAUUCUCAACAAUGAUGAGAAUAAGAACAAUGAUAUGACUGCAGACAGGACCAAUAUCUAUGUUUUCAGAAAAUACAACCGAUAAGUCGUCAAAUGAACAGCAGUGCUGUGUGCAUUAGUCUUUAUAAAGUAUAAAUUCCACAUCAUACUUCACUUGAUCUCCAUCAAUAUGGUGGAAACAAAUUUAAAAGAAAGUUCAGUUUGAUAUGAUGUAAAACAAGAUAUCUCAUUCUUUGUUUGAUCUAAUUACAAAAAGUUAUGCUCAGAUCUAUAUCAUUUCUUAGUCUAGAGUAUAUUUGAACACACAACAAUAACAUUAAUUGCAAGCCAUAAUGAGCAGAUGUUGCCAAUCAGAAAUCUUAAAUUCGGGAAGCAGGGAUGAUACCGCAUUACCAACAAAACCUGAUAAUAACGAUUAAAAAUAAAUUGAUCUUGUUUAGCAAGCAAUUUUAGAGGGCAUAAAAUCCUAGAACAUAUAUAGUUCUACAAGUUGAAAGGAUCUCAGUCCUUUUAGAGACAAAAUCCCCCACAAAAAGUAUCAAGCCUUGCAAACAGCAUCAGUCUUUUCCUACUGAAAGAACCUGACCCUAUCCAGCAGCUAGUUCUGAGGCAGUACAGUACAUGUAUAAUUCUUCGCUGAUAACGACUCAAGCCUUUGUUAGGAAAACAUCUCUACGAUGAUCAACAUGCGAUAGGGUGCAAGUCAUCUAAAACUUCUCUUGAUCCCGAUAACUCAACAGGAGUAAGCAGUGCUUCAGUUUAAUUUAACCAAGUACCUACCUGCCAGAGACACUGCUGUUAAUUCUCCAAGGCCAAUAAUGUAUGAAUACCUAAGAAAAAGCACAAUGCAAAAGAUUGGAACUAGGACACAUACAACAUUUACUGGAGAUUAGCAUGCUACAAUACCUCAGGGAAGUUAUAUUGACGUAUUUGUCCAGAGACAACAAAACAACAAAGUCUUAAGAAAAGGAACACACCAAAAUAUUAAAAAUCGGACGAAUGGCUGAGACUAUCAUGCUAUACUACAACAGAAUAGCAUAUAUAAGAAUCUGGAGAACCAAGGGCUGGAAUCAAAUUUGAGAUUACAUGUUGCCAUUAGGCAAUAUAUUUAGAGAUGCCCUAUUGUCACAUUGAAGCACAAGUUUGUAACAUAAAAACAACCUGCAUAAUUUGACAUAUUAACUAGACUUCCAGAUCACAUUUUUGUUUGAUAGCUAUUACAGCUUUGACAAAAAUAAGACACCGAACAAAGGAUGCAAAAGAAACAUAUAGUAGCAAAAGCCAAAAAUGUUGAAAUGUGGAUUUUCAUAGUACAUAAACCAGUAUAACUACAUAUCAUAAAUAUAACCAAAGAUUCUAACGGUUAGAAAUAUCUUGACUUCAGUCUGACUGUGGGUAAAAUACAUUUCAGGAAGGCUGAAAUUGGUGUCAUCUGACAGCGGACAAAAUACAUUUUGGGAAGGGGGAAAUUGGCCUACAAGAAGUCAGCAAGUCUCAUUUCUCUUUCAUUACCUGAAGGCUGGCAAUGGUUGAAUUCUCCCUAGCAAAGUAACUCCUAGAAUUAUAUUUCCUUUUCCAAUUUGUUCAACAUAUCCUUACUAAUGUAAUCAAACUAGCACACUGCAGAUGCCAACCUCUGGAAGGUAACACAUACUAAAAGAGCAAUUUCCAAGAACCUUGUUAAUCCACUUCUUUUGCACCAAACACUCUGCAAAUGGAGCUAACACCCCAAGUAUUUUUUAUUGAUAAGAACAAUUUAUGAUCGAUACAAGACAACCUCUGGACAGUAACACCUACUAAAAUAUCAAUUUCCUAGAUCACUGCUAAUCCGCUUCUUUUGCACCAAACACCCUGCAUAUGGAGCUAACAAUCAAGUACUUUUGAUUGAUAAGAACAUUUUAUGCACUGAACACUCAAUAUGACCCAACCCAAAAAAUGAGAGGAUCGCACCCUCCGGAAAUUUAUGAUCCCGACAUCUGUAACGCACAGAGCACAAUAAUAAUAUUCAUUGACAAUAACUGAAAAUACAUCCCAUCAAGUGUCAUCAUUAUUACUGGAGUAAACAUCUAACUAUACUUUUAUUAAAUAUCAUAUAACAAUCUUCACCUUGCUAGAAUCGAACACUUCUCAAUCCAUAGUUCCCCAGCUACGGAUCAUCUGAAAUAUGUAAUUUUCAGAUCGAUAGGGAUUAUCUUAGUAGAAACAAGAUGUCAAGAAAUCUAGUUGUCUCAUGCAAUCAGCAAAAGAUAAGAAUAAUAAUGAAAAAAGAGUAUAACUUAGAAUAAAAGAUCUCACAAAUUCAUCAUGAGAAAAGCACAUCCAUUAGUGCACUUUGCUGCAUCGGAACUCGUCCGACUGCUCAGGAUGAAGCAACCUCCUUAUAGACUAAAUUCAUAUCACAUUCCCUGCUAUUAGUCCAUUACUAGGAUCAAGUGGUGCCCGGCAACAGUAGAAAUACGUCUUUCUAUGGAUGCAAGGAAUAUCUUAUAAGCUUCUAUGACGACUACUAAUCCCUUUCAAAAUUGCCUACUAAUCAUGACAAUGUUGUUCAAUCAUCCAUAUAUGUAUAUAUCAACAUGCUGCACAACCAUGCAACAACAUCCUUUCACAUGCUCAAGCGUCCAACUUAUGCAUCAUGGCACUUCUAACAAAUAUUAAUUAUAGGCUACAAUAGAGGCAUCAAUAUAAAAUUGAUUGCCAAAAGAAAUAUGAUCUAAUAACAGCAUAUUAAAAUUUCAUCAUGUCAGCAUAAAGAGAAUCUAGGUUUUAUGAGGCACCUAACACUAUAUUGAUCAUCCAAAUUGGAUACAGAGUCCAAAAAAGUUAUUAUUGAUUUACAAUUCAGUCCUCAAAAUUUACAAUCAUUUCUUCAAUACAUUGCAAACCAGUCCCUAGCAGUCUUAAUGGGCAGGACCUUAGGCAGCCACGUGGAACUUGGUCUCACAGGCAGGACCACAUGGAGUUGGCCUGUCUGAGCUGAAGUGCAUGAAGUUUAGACCACCCCCGUACUCAAAUGCUUAAAUUGGUAAAGGACAACUUGUACAUUCCAGUGCUUAAAUUGAGAACAAAACAUUGGCAAUACGGAAAGUGUGGUUUCCUUCAUAAAUCUAAGAGUUUCAACUUCAUUCUCAAGAAGACGGUCAGCUUCAAACUAUCAUGGUGGAAACCUGGUAUUCAUUAAGGUUUUGCAUUUAUAAAGAGAGAAAUUUCAACUGAAUUGACCGAUCAGCAAGAAGAAAGAAGUGGUUCAAACUAAUCACUUAAGAAAGAGAACAAAAUUUGAUAAACAAAAUAUACAAAAAAUUGAAACCCAACCUCAUUUCCCUUUUUUGGGUUUCGGGUUUGGUUUUGGAAUGGAGGGACUUUAGUAAAUUUAUAUAAAAGGUGACCAACCCUUGCCCUAAAUCAAAAGCCUCAUCAUCCAGCUCAAAAUCACCAAAGCAUCCAACCAUACCAUCCAAAAGAAUCCUACUUCUUAUCAUUUGAAAAAAUUAACCAAAACUCGAAACCUAAAUUACCAAAUAUCCGAAGUCAAAUCAAUUCAAAACUUCAGGUGUCCAAUAACCUACAUAAGUCUGAUAUCUUCCAGUAGACUUAAAACAAAUAGGACAAGAAUAACAAUUCUAUGUGGCGUCUACACAAGUGAUUAUAAACAAGCAAUUAACUCUAUCGGCAAUUUCAUCACAAAUCUUCUCAACAUUCUUCAUUUUCUUACUACGUGUAAGCAUCCAAACUCAUAUUACAUUCACAGAAACGAAGUAAAUGGCAGGAAUUAUUUGGUCGCAAACUGUAGAUCAUGUUAUGCGGAUAGUGGAAAAUUGGAACCUGGAAACAUAACUUGCUGGUACAAAAGCUUGUGCUAUGCAUUAUGCAUUUCCACGAUCAAAUGCAGUGAUGUUUUUGGGGACUCCAUUAUACAACUCAAUGAGUUCUGGAUACUCCUUGUAGCGGUUGACGAACUUCUCCACAAAUUUCUUCUCUGAAUAUUUCACGUAUGUAGACAUACUAAGGUUACUGAUGCAAACUCCCCUAGACUUCAGGCCUGUCACAAUCUGAUGCCUUGGCAUCAACCUUUUCUCCAAACUGCACAACAAAAUAUCUGGCCGAAGUGCAAUAUGAGAUGGAGCACAUCCGGCUUCAUUUACCAAGAACUCCAACUUCCUCUGCAAACUCUUUAAAGAAAUUUGCACAAACGUAGGAGCCUUUCUGAAUGCAGCAAGGAAAUCAUCCUCGGACCACCCGAAGCCCUCGAAGAACUCCAAGUGAGCCUUGAAGUUAUUCUCGGAGACGUUGUGGAGCACAGUCAGGGUCAAGGGGAACAUCCCUGAGGUGCAAGCUACUCCCAAACCCUCGGCACGACUGAUUAACGCCUUCAGGGUUUCAGCAUUCCGGGUUAUGAGGAGAGGAUAUUGCCUUAGGAUCAUUGAGAGCUUCUGAUCCGUCAUCCCGCAAUCCCUUAGAAUUUCAAUGUUAGGCUGGAUCGUCUUCUCGAUGCUAUACCCGAGAAACCUCCUGUUUUUCUUGCACAAGUUCAUCAGUAAGUCGUUGGACCCGAGGAGGCCUUGCCAUAAUUGGAUCUUGGACAAGAUGGUCUGGGAUUUGUCGCUGAUGACGUCGUUAUUCGAUCUGACGAGGUGGGUGAUGUCGGAGCAGGAGAAGCCCAGAUCCUGCAAAGCUCGGAACUUUGGGGCCAGGGUCUUCUCCACGUCGAGGAGAAGCCACCGGGGGUUUGCAGAUAUGACCUUUUUCACCUGGGUGUUGUCAAAACCGUAGCUUUUAAAAAAGCCAAGGACGGAGUCAGGCUGGUGGCGGGAUUCGACGCGACCAAGGAGCUUCGAGGCUUUGGCCGCCUGAUCAGGAUGGAAGCCACAGUAGCUGACCAGGUAUUCAGCCAUAAGGCUGCUCUCUGGAGCACCGGAGGCGGCGGAAUAAGAAUGGGUUGCGAGAAAAAGGGCAGCAUCGGCCGGACGACAGCAAGGGACGAAUGCAAGGGCUUUGGACAAGAGAGAGACGUAGGGCGACCUAUUCAUCAAUGUCAUCGUCUUCUUCUUCUUCUUCUUCUUCUUUGUAGGUUCCUUCUCUUUACCAAAACCUAGCGAAGGUGGCGUAGCUGCGUAUAGAGGAGCGCGUUUUGGCCGGAAGUACCUGCGUCUUAAACCCUAGAAGUGCGUUACCGUGUUCGACAUUUUUUUUUUCUGGCGGAGAUUACUGCGACCGCAGGAGUCUUUUUUUUCUUUGUCAACUUUUAGUUUGUUGAGGGGAGAAACAACUUUUAUUGCGUGCCAACUAAAGAUAAUAAAAGGUGUUCUUUUAGAAAAAAUUUGCACUAUUAUUUUUUUAUCUAGGGUUUAUUUUUUAUAGUUAGAACAAAAAUAUACCCUUAAUCUUCUAUUAAAAAUGACUUGAUCAGCUAUUAAAAAAUUGAUAUCAAAAAUUUUUAAAAAAAUAUAAAAAGCUAUGCUAAUCAUUUUAAAAUCAAUAGAUAUGCAUCGAAGAUGAUUAAUAUCUAUUUUUAUUUUAAAAAUUUUUAUAAUUAAUUAUCAAAUUAUAAUUUAUUUAAAUAAUAUCUAUGAUUAAGUCACAUAAGUUAAAAUAUAAGAGUGUUUUUUGUCUAAAUAAAAAUACCUAAAUAAAAAUGAAUAUGGAGGGUUUCAUCGAUAAGAAAACUAAUACUAUAAAUUAUUUUUUUAUAAAAGACCCGACAUACAUGAAUGAAUGCUAGAAAACAACUAAUCCAUCAUAAAAUUUGAUGAACUAAUACAUAUGUAUUCUAAUUAUCAAGUUAAAGUCAACAAUAAAAAAUUCAUGUAAUCUUUAAUGCCAUCAUAACCAUCAACUAUUUAUGAUGUGAAUGGCAAAACCGCUCAUUGUUCACUUAAGAAUCUACUCAUUAGAUUUUCACUAGAUAGAGAACAGACAACAACUCGUAAACAUGUCAACUAUCUUACUAGAAACAUACACUAUCUAUGAAACAAUGCCCAAGGCAACUUCUAUCUAGAAAUUAAUAAUAAUUAGAUGAUCAUGUUCACACUCAAAAUAGAAAGUCAUUCAUCCUAUAAUCAUUAACUUAUUAUAUCCAUACCAAGAUUAAGAAAGUAUCCCGAUGAUUAACAUUGAUUUAGAUUCGAUUAUAUUUGAUUUAACAUAUUGACAAAUAUUGUAAUUGGUAUAUAUAUCCUUCGACGGAAUCAAAUAAUUUGGGUAAUAUAUCUCACGGCUAAUUCUCACUCUUUAUUAUUUUUCAAUAUCGAAAAAUUAUUCUGUCAGUUUAAGGGAUAUAUACUUGAUCUAGCUAGCUCUUUAUACAAAGUAACUCAAAAUCUCUUUUCAAUUUAUCAUCUCAAAAUUAUUAGAAUACAUGACUCUUUAUAAUUGAAUAAGAUAUAUAAUAAAAUUAAUUAGAUUUUAAUGACGAAUAUUAGUCAAUAGAAAGAAAUAUCAAAAUAUGUGCCAAGUGAGAGAAUAUCUUAUAAAUUAAUGGGCUAAGUGAGAGAAUAUCAAAUAUGUGACCCUUUAUAAUUGAAUAAGAUAUAUAAUAAAACUAAUUAGAUUAUGAUAAUGGAUAUUAGCCAAUAGAAAGAAAGUUUAUAUUAUAGUAUGAUUCCUUAGGGGGUGCCCUUGAUGGGAGGAACUCUCUUAAUUAUUUAUCAUAGACUCUCUACUCUCGUCUAUAAAUAGAUGGGACCUCAUAGGGACUAAUGACAUGAUGUUUAUAUGAUGUAAUGGUCAUGAACACAUACACGAGAUACAAUAUGUGACAAUGAGAGAUUACGAUUCCUUUCUCAUCCUCUCUUGUCUCUGAACCAUUAAUAACUAUAAUCUUGUGAAAAGGUAGAAAGAGAUGAGGAGUGUUUAGUUCUCCUUGUAGAUCGACAUUUGAUAUAAACGAUUUUGCCCCACACAAACUCAUCUACCACUAAGGCCAACACCUAUGGAGAGUUUCAGGUCAUUAGCUUCGAAAUGGCACCAUAGUGUCGAUAACCAUCCUACUUUAUUAAGAUCAAAGAAUAAUCAGGUGAUUUUGCUAAUCUUAUCCAAGGCCAACCAAUAAAAGGCCUAGGGAUCAAGUAUAAAAAGGAACUCAUUAACUCACGCUGAGAGGGGGGACUCUCUAUACACUAACCUAGUCAUACAGCUUACACUACUAUCUUUCCCCUUUCACUGACUUAAGCAUCGGAAGGAAUGCGUUGGGCAACCCCUAAUGCUGGCCUAUCAUGCAAGAUUGCUGACGGUCAAGUGAUGAUCGGACCCAAUCCUUGUCAAUAGAACCUCGUAAUCUUUAAUGCCAUCAUAACCAUCAACUAUUUAUGAUGUGAAUGGCAAAACUGCUCAUUGUUCACUUAAGAAUCUACUCAAUAGAUUUUCACUAGAUAGAGAACAGACAACGACUCGUAAACAUGUCAACUAUCUUACUAGAAACAUACACUAUCUAUGAAACAAUGCCCAAGGCAACUUCUAUCUAGAAAUUAAUAAUAAUUAGAUGAUCAUGUUCACACUAAAAAUAGAAAGUCAUUCAUCCUAUUAUCAUUAACUUAUUAUAUCCAUACCAAGAUUAAGAAAGUAUCCUGAUGAUUAACUUUGAUUUAGAAUCGAUUAUAUUUGAUUUAACAUAUUGACAAACAUUGUAAUUGGUAUAUAUAUCCUUCGACGGAAUCAAAUAAUUUGGGUAAUAUAUCUCACGGCUAAUUCUCACUCUUUAUUAUUUUUCAAUAUCGAAAAAUUAUUCUGUCAGUUUAAGGGAUAUAUACUUGAUCUAGCUAGCUCUUUAUACAAAGUAACUCAAAAUCUCUUUUCAAUUUAUCAUCUCAAAAUUAUUAGAAUACAUGACUCUUUAUAAUUGAAUAAGAUAUAUAAUAAAAUUAAUUAGAUUUUGAUGAAAACUAUUAGUCAAUAGAAAGGAAUAUCAAAAUACGUGCUAAGUGGGAGAAUAUCUUAUAAAUUAAUGGGCCGCCUCCGGUGCUCCAGAGAGCAGCCUUAUGGUUAAUAAAAACACUAUACGUGCUAAGUGGGAAAUUCCUAUGAUGGCUAAUAAAAACACUAUAAUAAACUAAUUUUACUCUUAUUUGGAUGAUAUUAUUGUUAAAUUAUUUUAAAUAUAUGAUAUAUCAAAUGGUUUGUAGUAUGUUUGGAUUUCUCAGUUAUAGUAUUUUUUAAAUAACAUUAUAGUGUUUUUAUAAGGUGUAAAGCAAUUGAAAAAUCUUUGAUUAUCGUUGAUCGUAAAUGUGUAGUUAGUUUGACUGAAUCUAUUCGGGUUAUUUAUAAUAUUUUUAUUAUGAUAAUCAAAAUACUAUAAAAAUUAAUUUUUGAUUCUCAUUUUGAUGACCAAACUAUUGUGUAAAUCAUAUAAAUCAGAUCAUGCUACUGUACAAACCAAUCCAUCAACUUGGAUUCAAACACCGAUAUAUCGGUCUAUAAGGUAUCUAUGAAACUAGUGGGAAAAAUAUCAUUGAGGCUGGUAAGAAAUACUUUCAGUAUUAUUCAAAAUAGAAGGUAUCAUUUGAGAAAUAUGAGACAUCUUUUAGGAAAAUAAUAAUAAAAAAAGUGAGACAUCUUCGAAAUCACCCGAAAACUUUUGCUCACUUGUUUACUAGGGUCUUCUAGACUUUGCAGCAUCAAGAGAGUUCCUCUCCUCCGAACUCCUGUUUACCUAACAUCUCUACGAUGAUCAACAUGCGUUAGGGUGCAAGUCAACUAAAACUUCCCUUGAUCCCGAUAACUCAACAAGAGUAAGCAGUGCUUCAGUUUAAUUUGACCAAGUACGUGCCUGCCAGAGACACUGCAGUUAAUUCUACAAGGCCAAUAAUGUAUGAAUACAUAAGAAAAAGCUCAACGCAAAAGAUUGGAAGAUUAUUUUGAUGUAUUUGUACAGAGAAAACAAUACAACAAAGUCUUUAGAAAAGGAACACACCAAAAGAUUAAAAAUAGGACGAAUGGCUGAGACUAGCAUGCUAUACUAUAUAAGAAUCUGGAGAACCAAGGGUGGAAUCAAAUUCGAGAUUACAUGUUGCUAUUAGGCAAUAAAUUUAGAGAUGCUCUAUUGUCACAUUGAAGCACAAGUUUGUAACAUAAAAAACAACCUGCAUAAUUUGACAUAUUAACUAGACUUCCAGAUCAACUUUUUGUUUGAUAGCUAUUACAGCUUUGACAAAAAUAAGACACCGAACAAAGGAUGCAAAAGAAACAUAUAGUAGCAAAAGCCAAAAAAGUUGAAAUGUGGAUUUUCAUAGUACAUAAACCAGUAUAACUACAUAUCAUAAAUAUAACCAAAGAUUCUAACUGUUAGAAAUAUCUUGACUUCAGUCUGAGUGUGGGUAAAAAACAUUUCAAGAAGGCUGAAAUUGGUGUCAUCUGACAGCGGACAAAAUACAUUUUGGGAAGGGAGAAAUUGGCCUACAAGAAGUCAGCAAGUCUCAUUUCUCUUUCAUUACCUGAAGGCCGGCAAUGGUUGAAUUCUCCCUAGCAAAGUAACUCCUAGAAUUAUAUUUCCUUUUCCAAUUUGUUCAACAUAUACUUACUAAUGUAAUCAAACUAGCACACUGCAGAUGCCAACCUCUGGAAGGUAACACAUACUAAAAGAGCAAUUUCCAAGAACCUUGUUAAUCCACUUCUUUUGCACCAAACACUCCGCAAAUGGAGCUAACACCCCAAGUAUUUUUUAUUGAUAAGAACAAUUUAUGAUCGAUACAAGACAACCUCUGGACAGUAACACCUACUAAAAUAUCAAUUUCCAAGAUCACUGCUAAUCCACUUCUUUUGCACCAAACACCCUGUAAAUGGAGCUAACAAUCAAGCACUUUUGAUUGAUAAGAACAUUUUAUGCACCGAACACUCAAUAUGACCCAACCAAAAAAAUGAGAGGAUCGCACCCUCCGUAAACUUAUGAUCCAGACAUCUGUAACGCACAGAGCACAAUAAUAAUAUUCAUUGACAAUAAUGGAAAAUGCAUCCCAUCAAGUCUCAUCAUUAUUACUGGCGUACACAUCUAACUGUGCUUUUAUUAAAUAUCAGAUAACAAUCUUCACAUUGCUAGAACUGAAAAAUUCUCAAUCCUUAGCUACCCAGCUACGGAUCAUCUGAAAUAUGUACUUUUCAGAUCGAUAGGGAUUAUCUUAGUAGAAACAAGACGUCAAGAAAUCUAGUUGUGUCCCACGCAAUCAGCUAAAGAUAAGAAUAAUAAUGAAAAAAGAGCAUAAAUUAGGAUAAAAGAUCUCACAAAUUCAUCAUGAGAAAAGCACAUCCAUCAGUGCACUUUGCUGCAUCGGAACUCGUCCGAGGGAUGAAGCUACCUCCUUAUAGACUAAAUUCAUAUCACAUUACCUGCUAUUAGUCCAUUACUAGGAUCAAGUGGUGCCCGGCAACAGUCGAAAUACGCAUUUCUAUAGAUGCAAGGAAUAUCUUAUAAGCUUGUUUGACGACUACUAAUCCCUUUCAAAAUUGCCUACGAAUAAUGACAAUGUUGUUCAAUCAUCCAUAUAUGUAUAUAUCAACAUGCUGCACAACCAUGCAACAACAACCUUUCACAUACUCAAGCAUCCAACUUAUGCAUCAUGGCACUUCUAACAAAUAUUAAUAUGCGUCAAUUAUAGGCUAAAAUAGACGCAUCAAUAUAAAAUUUAUUGCCAAAAGAAAUAUGAACUAAUAACAGCAUAUUAAAAUUUCAUCACAUCAGCAUACAGAGAAUCUAGGUUUUAUGAGGCACCUAACACUAUAUUGCUCAUCCAAAUUGGAUACAGAGUUCAAAAAAGUUAUUAUCGAUUUACAAUUCAGUCCUUGAAAUUUACAAUCAUUUCUUCAUUACAUUGCAAACCAGUCCCUAGCAGUCUUAAUGGGCAGGCCCUUAGGCAGCCACGUGGAACUUGGUCUCAAAGGCAGGACCACAUGGAGUUGGCCUGUCUGAGCUGAAGUGCAUGAAGUUUAGACCACCCCCGUACUAAAAUGCUUAAAUUGGUAAAGGACAACUUGUACAUUCCAGUGCUUAAAUUGAGAACAAAACAUUGUCAAUACGGAAAGUGUGGUUUCCUUCAUAAAUCUAAGAGUUACAACUUCAUUCUCAAGAAGACAGUCAGCUUCAAACUAUCAUGGUGGCAACCUGGUAUUCAUUAAGGUUUUGCACUUAUAAAGAGAGAAAUUUCAACUGAAUUGACCGAUCAGCAAGAGGAAAGAAGUGGUUCAAACUAAUCACUUAAGAAAGAGAACAAAGUUUGAUAAACAAAAUAUACAAAAAAUUGAAACGCAACCUCAUCUACCUUUUUUGGGUUUUCGGUUUGGUUUAGGAUAUGAGGGACUUUAGUAAAUUUAUAUAAAAGGUGACCAACCCUUGCCCUAAAUCAAAAGCCUCAUCAUCCAGCUCAAAAUCACCAAAGCAUCCUACCAUACCAUCCAAAAGAAUCCUACUUCUUAUCAUUUGAAAAAAUAACCAAAACUCGAAACCUAACUUAGCAAAUAUCCAUAGUUAAAUCAAUCAAAACUUCACGUGUCCAAUAACCUACAUAAGUCUGAUAUCUUCCAGUAGACUUAAAACGAAUGGGACAAGAAUAACAAUUCCAUGUGGCGUCUACACAAGUGAUUAUCAACAAGCAAUUAACUCUAUCGGCAAUAUCAUCACAAAUCUUCUCAACAUUCUUCAUUUUCUUACUACGUGUAAGCAUCCAAACUCAUCUUACAUUCACAGAAAACGAAGUAAAUGGCAGGAAUUAUUUGGUCGCAAACUGUAGAUCAUGUUAUGCGGAUAGUGGAAAAUUGGAACCUGGAAACAUAACUUGCUGGUACAAAAGUUUGUGCUAUGCAUUAUGCAUUUCCACGAUCAAAUGCAGUUCUGUUUUUGGGGACUCCAUUAUACAACUCAAUGAGUUCUGGAUACUCCUUGUAGCGGUUGACGAACUUCUCCACAAAUUUCUUCUCUGGAUAUUUCGCGUAUGUAGACAUACUAAGGUUACUGAUGCAAACUCCCCUAGACUUCAGGCCUGUCACAAUCUGAUGCCUUGGCAUCAACCUUUUCUCCAAACUGCACAACAAAAUAUCUGGCCGAAGAGCAAGAUGAGAUGGAGCACAUCCGGCUUCAUUUACCAAGAACUCCAUCUUCCUCUGCAAACUCUUUAAAGAUAAUCCCACAAGCGUAGGAACCUUUCUGAAUGCAGCAAGGAAAUCAUCCUCGGACCACCCGAAGCCCUUGAAGAACUCCAAGUGAGCCUUGAAGUUCUUCUCGGUGAUUCUCUGGAGCACACACAGGGUAAGGGGGAAGAUCCCUGAGGUGCGAGGUACUCCCAAACCCUCGACACGACUGAUUAACGCCUUCAGGGUUUCAGCAUUCCGGGUUAUAAGGAGGGGGCGGUGCCGUAUGAUCAUUGAGAGCUUCUGAUCCGUGAUCCCGCAAUCCCUUAGAAUUUCAAUGUUAGGCUGGAUCGUCUUCUCGAUGCUAUACCCGAGAAACCUCCUGUUUUUCUUGCACAAGUUUACCAAAAAGUCGUUGGACUCGAGGAGGUCUUGCCAUAAUUGGAUCUUGGACAAGAUGUUCUCGGAUUUGUCGCUGGUGACGUCGUUAUUCGAUCUGACGAGGUGGGUGAUGUCGGAGCAGGAGAAGCCCAGAUCCUGCAAAGCUCGGAACUUUGGAGCCAGGGUCUUCUCCACGUCGAGGAGAAGCCACCGGGGGUUUGCAGAUAUGACCUUUUUCACCUGGGUGUUGUCAAAACCGUAGCUUUUAAAUAAGCCAAGGACGGAGUCAGGCUGGUGGCGGGAUUCGACGCCGCCAAGGAGCUUCGAGGCUUUGGCCGCCUGAUCUGGAUCGAAGCCACAGGAGCUGACCAGGUAUUCAGCCAUAAGGCUGCUCUGUGGAGCACCGGAGGUGGCGGAGUAAGAAUGGGUUGCGAGAAAAAGGGCAGCAUCGGCCGGACGACAGCAAGGGACGAAGGCAAGGGCUUUGGACAAGAGAGAGACGUAGGGCGACCUAUUCAUCAAUGUCAUCGUCUUCUUCUUCUUCUUCGUAGGUUCCUUCUCUUUACCAAAACCUAGCGAAGGUGGCGUAGUUGCGUAUAGAGGAGCGCGAUUAGGCCGGAAGUACCUGCGUCUUAAACCCUAGAAGUGCGUUACCGUGUUCGACAUUUUUCUGGUUGGCUAGUUAUUCCCUAGUCAUUUUACUGGUUAGCCUUGGAUAAGAUUAGUUAAAUCACUUGAUCAUUUUUUGAUCUUAAUAAGGUAGGGUGGUUAUCAGAAUACACUAUGGUGCCAUUUCGGAGCUGGUGAUCUGGAACUCUCCAUAGGUGUCGGCCUUGUGACAGAUGAGUUGGCGUAGGGCAAAAUCGUCUCUAUCAAAUGUCGAUAUACAAGGAGAACCAAACAUUCAUCUCUUUCUACCUUUUCACAAGACUAUAGUUAUUAAUGUUUCAGAGACAAGAGAGGAUGAAAAAAGAAUCGUAAUCUCUCAAUGUCACAUAUAGUAUCUCGUGUAUGUGUCCACGUGUAUGUGUCCAUGACCGUCACAUCAUAUAAACAUCAUGUCAUUAGCCCCUAGGAGGUCCGAUAUAUUUAUAGGUGAGAGUUGAGGAUCAAUGAUAAGUAAUUAGGAGAGUUUCUCCUAUCAAGAGCGUCCCUUAAGAAAUCAUACUAUAAUCUGAAUAUCCUUUAUACUGGCUAAUAUCCGUUAUCAGAAUUCAAUCAAUUUUAUUAUAUAUCUUAUUCAAUUAUAAAGGGUCACAUAUUUUGAUAUUCUCCUACUUAGCUCAUAUAUUCUCUAUCUUUGCCCAUAGUUUGAUAUUCCUUUUUAUAGAUUAAUAUUCGUAAUCAAAAUCUAAUUAAUUUUAUUAUAUAUCUUAUUCAAUUAUAAAGAGUCCUGUAUUCUAACAAUUUUGAUAUGACAAAUUGAAAAGAUGUUUUGAGUUACUUUGCAUAAAGAGCUAGCUAGAUCAAGUAUAAAUCCCUUAAUAUGAGAGAAUAAUUCUCCAAUACUGAAAAAUAAUAAAGAGUGAGAAGAAACCUUUAUAAAGGUGAGAUAUAUUACUCAAACUAUUUAAUUCCGUAAAAGGAUAUUUAUACUAAUUAUAAUGCUUGUCAAUAUGUUAAUCAAAUAUAAUCAAUUCUAAAUCAGGAUGCACCUUCUUAAUCUUAGUAUGGAUAUAAUAAGUUAAUAAUUGUGAGAUGAAUGACUUUCUAUUUUUAUGGUGAACAUGAUCAUCUAAUUACUAUUAAUUUCUAGAUAGAAGUUGCUUGAGGCUUUGUUUCAUAGAUAGCAUAUGUUUGUAGCAAUUCUAAGUAGCAAGAUAGUUGACGUGUUUGCGAGUCUCUAUCAGUUCCCUAUUUGAUAAAAAUCUAUUGAGUAGAUUCUCAAGUGAACAAUGAGCAAUUUUGCCAUUCAUAUCAUAAAUAGUUGAUGCUUAUGAUGAUAUUUAAGAUUACAUGAACAUUUUAUUGUUGACUUAAACUUGAUAAUUAGAGUAGCAUAGGUAUUAAUCCAUCAAAUUUUAUGAUGAAUAAGUUGAUUUCUAGCAGUAAUUCAUGCAUGUUGGGUCUUUUAUAAAAGAAAAAAUUCUAGUAUUAUUUUUUUUUAUUGAUGAAACCUUCCAUAUUCAUUUUUACUUAGGUUUUUUUUAUUUAGACAAAAAACACUCUUAUAUUUUUUGCUUAUGUGACUUAAUCAUAGAUAUUAUUUAAAUAAAUUAUAAUUUGAUAAUUAAUUAUAAAAAAAACUAAAAUAAAAAAUAGAUAUUAAUCAUCUUCGAUGCAUAUCUAUUGAUUUUAAAAUGAUUAGCAUAGUUCUUUUUUUUUUUUUUUUUAAUUAUGAUAAUUAAUUAUCAAUUUUUUAAUAGCUGAUCAAGUCAUUUUUAAUAGAAGAUUAAGGGUAUAUUUUUGUUCAUACUAUAAAAAAUAAACCCUAGAUAAAAAUAAAUAUAGGGAUGCUAUCCGAUAAAAAAAUAAUAGUGCAAUUUUUUUCUAAGAGAACACCUUUUAUUAUCUUUAGUUGGCACGCAAUAAAAGUUUUUUCUCCCCUCAACAAACUAAAAGUUGACGAAGCAAAAAAAAAGACGCCUGCGGUCGCAGUAAUCUCCGCCCGAAAAAAAAUUCUCGAACACGGUAACGCACUUAUAGGGUUUAAGACGCAGGUACUUCCGGCCUAAACGCGCUCUUCUAUACGCAGCUACGCCACCUUCGCUAGGUUUUGGGAAAGCGAAGGAACCUACAAAGAAGAAGAAGAAGACGAUGACAUUGAUGAAUAGGUCGCCCUACGUCUCUCUCUUGUCCAAAGCCCAUGCCUUCGUCCCUUGCUGUCGUCCGGCCGAUGCUGCCCAUUUUCUCGCAACCCAUUCUUACUCCGCCGCCUCCGGUGCUCCACAGAGCAGCCUUAUGGCUGAAUACCUGGUCAGCUCCUGUGGCUUCGAUCCUGAUCAGGCGGCCAAAGCCUCGAAGCUCCUUGGCCACGUCGAAUCCCGCCACCAGCCUGACUCCGUCCUUGGCUUAUUUAAAAGCUACGGUUUUGACAACACCCAGGUGAAAAAGGUCAUAUCUACAAACCCCCGGUGGCUUCUCCUCGACGUGGAGAAGACCCUGGCCCCAAAGUUCCGAGCUUUGCAGGAUCUGGGCUUCUCCUGCUCCGACAUCACCCACCUCGUCAGAUCGAAUAACCACGUCAUCAGCCACAAAUCCCAGAACAUCUUGUCCAAGAUCCAAUUAUGGCAAGGCCUCCUGGGGUCCAACGACUUACUGAUGAAGAUAUGGAAGAGAAACAGGUGGUUUCUCGGGUAUAGCUUCGAGAAGACGAUCCAGCCUAGCAUUGAAAUUCUAAGGGAUUGCGGGAUCACGGAUCAGAAGCUCUCAAUGAUCAUACCGCAAUAUCCCCUCCUUAUAACCCGGAAUGCUGAAACCCUGAAGGCGUUAAUCAGUCGUGUCGAGGGUUUGGGAGUACCUCGCACCUCGAGGAUGUUCCUCCUGAUCCUGAGUGUGCUCCUGAGCGUCUCCGAGAAGAACUUCAAGGCUCACUUGGAGUUCUUCAAGGGCUUCGGGUGGUCCGAGGAUGAUUUCCUUGCUGCAUUCAGAAAGGCUCCUACGUUUGUGCAAUUAUCUUUAAAGAGUUUGCAGAGGAAGAUGGAGUUCUUGGUAAAUGAAGCAGGAUGUGCUCCAUCUCAUCUUGCACUUCGGCCAGAUAUUUUGUUGUGCAGUUUGGAGAAAAGGUUGAUGCCAAGGCAUCAGAUUGUGACAGGCCUGAAGUCUAGGGGAGUUUGCAUCAGUAACCUUAAUAUGUCUACAUACAUGAAAUAUCCAAAGAAGAAAUUUGNNNNNNNNNNNNNNNNNNNNNNNNNNNNNNNNNNNNNNNNNNNNNNNNNNNNNNNNNNNNNNNNNNNNNNNNNNNNNNNNNNNNNNNNNNNNNNNNNNNNNNNNNNNNNNNNNNNNNNNNNNNNNNNNNNNNNNNNNNNNNNNNNNNNNNNNNNNNNNNNNNNNNNNNNNNNNNNUGGAGUUCUUGGUAAAUGAAGCAGGAUGUGCUCCAUCUCAUCUUGCACUUCGGCCAGAUAUUUUGUUGUGCAGUUUGGAGAAAAGGUUGAUGCCAAGGCAUCAGAUUGUGACAGGCCUGAAGUCUAGGGGAGUUUGCAUCAGUAACCUUAAUAUGUCUACAUACAUGAAAUAUCCAAAGAAGAAAUUUGUGGAGAAGUUCGUCAACUGCUACAAGGAGUAUCCAGAACUCGUUGAGUUGUAUAAUGGAGUCCCCAAAAACAGAACUGCAUUUGAUCGUGGAAAUGCAUAAUGCAUAGCACAAGCUUUUGUACCAGCAAGUUAUGUUUCCAGGUUCCAAUUUUCCACUAUCCGCAUAACAUGAACUACAGUUUGCAACCAAAUAAUUCCUGCCAUUUACUUCGUUUUCUGUGAAUGUAAGAUGAGUUUGGAUGCUUACAUGUAGUAAGAAAAUGAAGAAUGUUGAGAAGAUUUGUGAUGAUAUUGCUGAUAGAGUUAAUUGCUUGUUGAUAAUCACUUGUGUAGACGCCACAUGGAAUUGUUAUUCUUGUCCCAUUCGUUUUAAGUCUACUGGAAGAUAUCAGACUUAUGUAGGUUAUUGGACACGUGAAGUUUUGAAUUGAUUUAACUAUGGAUAUUUGGUAAUUUAGGUUUCGAGUUUUGGUUAUUUUUUCAAAUGAUAAGAAGUAGGAUUCUUUUGGAUGGUAUGGUAGGAUGCUUUGGUGAUUUUGAGCUGGAUGAUGAGGCUUUUGAUUUAGGGCAAGGGUUGGUCACCUUUUAUAUAAAUUUACUAAAGUCCCUCCUAUCCAAAACCAAACCCAAAACCCAAAAAAGGGAGAUGAGGUUGCGUUUCAAUUUUUUGUAUAUUUUGUUUAUCAAACUUUGUUCUCUUUCUUAAGUGAUUAGUGUGAACCACUUCUUUCCUCUUGCUGAUCGGUCAAUUCAGUUGAAAUUUCUCUCUUUAUAAAUGCAAAACCUUAAUGAAUACCAGGUUGCCACCAUGAUAGUUUGAAGCUGACUGUCUUCUUGAGAAUGAAGUUGUAACUCUUAAAUUUAUGAAGGAAACCACACUUUCCGUAUUGACAAUGUUUUGUUCACAAUUUAAGCACUGGAAUAUACAAGUUGUCCUUUACCAAUUUAAGCAUUUGAGUACGGGGGUGGUCUAAACUUCAUGCACUUCAGCUCAGACUGGCCAACUCCAUGUGGUCCUGCCUCUGAGACCAAGUUCCACGUGGCUGCCUAAGGUCCUGCCCAUUAAGACUGCUAGGGACUGGUUUGCAAUGUAAUGAAGAAAUGAUUGUAAAUUUCAAGGACUGAAUUGUAAAUCGAUAAUAACUUUUUUGAACUCUGUAUCCAAUUUGGAUGAGCAAUAUAGUGUUAGGUGCCUCAUAAAACCUAGACUCUCUUUAUGCUGACAUGAUGAAAUUUUAAUAUGCUGUUAUUAGUUCAUAUUUCUUUUGGCAAUCAAUUUUAUAUUGAUGCGUCUAUUAUAGCCUAUAAUUGACGCAUAUUAAUAUUUGUUAGAAGUUCCAUGAUGCAUAAGCUGGACGCUUGAGCAUGUGAAAGGAUGUUGUUGCAUGGUUGUGCAGCAUGUUGAUAUACACAUAUAUGGAUGAUUGAACAACAUUGUCAUUAUUUGUAGGCAAUUUUGAAAGGGAUUAUCAGUUGUCAAAAAAGCUUAUAAGAUAUUCCUUGCAACUAUAGAAAGACAUAUUUCUACUGUUUCCCGGCACCACUUGAUCCUAGUAAUGGACUAAUAGCAGGGAAUGUGAUAUGAAUUUAGUCUAUAAGGAGGUUGCUUCAUCCUGAGCAGUCGGACGAGUUCCGAUGCAGCAAAGUGCAUUGAUGGAUGUGCUUUUCUCAUGAUGAAUUUGUGAGAUCUUUUAUUCUAAUUUAUUCUAUUUUUCAUUAUUAUUCUUAUCUUUAGUUGAUUGCAUGAGACACAACUAUAUUUCUUGACGUCUUGUUUCUACUAAGAUAAUCCCUAUCGAUCUGAAAAUUACAUAUUUCAGAUGAUCCAUAGCUGGGGAGCUAAGGAUUGAGAAGUGUUCGGUUCUAGCAAUGUGAAGAUUGUUAUCUGAUAUUUAAUAAAAGUACAGUUAGAUGUGUACGCCAGUAAUAAUGAUGAGACUUGAUGGGAUCCAUUUUCCAUUAUUGUCAAUGAAUAUUAUUAUUGUGCUCUGUGCAUUACAGAUGUCUGGAUCAUGAGUUUACGGAGGGUGUGAUCCUCUCAUUUUUUGGGUUGGGUCAUAUUGAGUGUUCGGUGCAUAAAAUGUUCUUAUCAAUCAAAAGUACUUGAUUGUUAGCUCCAUUUACAGGGUGUUUGGUGCAAAAGAAGUGGAUUAGCAGUGAUCUCGGAAAUUGCUAUUUUAGUAGGUGUUACUGUCCAGAGGUUGUGUUGUAUCGAUCAUAAAUUGUUCUUAUCAAUAAAAAAUACUUGGGGUGUUAGCUCCAUUUGCGGAGUGUUUGGUGCAAAAGAAGUGGAUUAACAAGGUUCUUGAAAAUUGAUCUUUUAGUAUGUGUUACCUUCCAGAGGUUGGCAUCUGCAGUGUGCUAGUUUGAUUACAUUAGUAAGGAUAUGUUGAACAAAUUGGAAAAGGAAAUAUAAUUCUAGGAGUUACUUUGCUAGGGAGAAUUCAACCAUUGCCUGCCUUCAGGUAAUGAAAGAGAAAUGAGACUUGCUGACUUCUUGUAGGCCAAUUUCUCCCUUCCCAAAAUGUAUUCUGUCCGCUGUCAGAUGACACCAAUUUCAGCCUUCCUGAAAUGUGUUUUACCCACAGUCAGACUGAAGUCAAGAUAUUUCUAACAGUUAGAAUCUUUGGUUAUAUUUAUGAUAUGUAGUUAUACUGGUUUAUGUACUAUGAAAAUCCACAUUUCAACUUUUUUGGCUUUUGCUACUAUAUGUUUCUUUUGCAUCCUUUGUUUGGUGUCUUAUUUUUGUCAAAGCUGUAAUAGCUAUCAAACAAAAAGUUGAUCUGGAAGUCUAGUUAAUAUGUCAAAUUAUGCAGGUUGUUUUUAUGUUACAAACUUGUGCUUCAAUGUGACAAUAGAGCAUCUCUAAAUUUAUUGCCUAAUGGCAACAUGUAAUCUCAAAUUUGAUUCCAGCCCUUGGUUCUCCAGAUUCAUAUAUGCUAUUCUGUUGUAGUAUAGCAUGAUAGUCUCAGCCAUUCGUCCGAUUUUUAAUAUUUUGGUGUGUUCCUUUUCUUAAGACUGUUGUUUUGUUGUCUCUGGACAAAUACGUCAAUAUAACUUCCCUGAGGUAUUGUAGCAUGCUAAUCUCCAGUAAAUGUUGUAUGUGUCCUAGUUCCAAUCUUUUGCAUUGUGCUUUUUCUUAGGUAUUCAUACAUUAUUGGCCUUUUAGAAUUAACAGCAGUGUAUCUGGCAGGUAGGUACUUGGUUAAAUUAAACUGAAGCACUGCUUACUCUUGUUGAGUUAUCAGGAUCAAGAGAAGUUUUAGAUGACUUGCACCCUAUGGCAUGUUGAUCAUCGUAGAGAUGUUUUCCUGACAAAGGCUUGACUCGUUAUCAGCGAAGAAUUAUACAUGUACUGUACUGCCUCAGAACUAGCUGCUGGAUAGGGUCAGUGAGAGAAUAUCAAAUAUGUGACCCUUUAUAAUUAAAUAAAAUAUAUAAUAAAAUUGAUUAGAUUCUGAUAACGGAUAUUAGUUAAUAAAAAAAAAGUUUAUAUUAUAAUAGGAUUUCUUAGGGUGUAUCCUUGAUGGGAGGAACUCUCCUAAUUAUUUAUCAUAGACUUUCUACUCUCGUCUAUAAAUGGAUAGGACCUCAUAGAGACUAAUGACAUGAUAUUUAUGUGAUGUAACGGUCAUGAACACAUACACGAGAUACGAUAGGUGACAUUAAGAGGUUACGAUUCCGAGAUACGAUAGGUGACAUUAAGAGGUUACGAUUCCUUUCUAAUUCUCUCUUGUCUCUGAACCAUUAAUAACUAUAGUCUUGUGAAAAGGUAGAAAGAGAUGAAGAGUGUUUAGUUCUCCUUGUAGAUCAGUUUUGCUGACAAACAAAUUCCUUGAUUUGUGCGCUGUAGUAGUAGGGUCAUUUAGACUUUGCAGCAUCAGAGAGUUCUCUUCCCAACUCCUGUUUACUUAACAAUGAGCAUGAAUAUACGCCUAUGACAAAAAAUUCCAUUUGGUGCCUUCAAAAUAUUGCUGCAGAAACUAAAUCCGGUGAAGAAAUGAAUGCCAUUUGCCCUUCACUUGCAUCUCAUAGGAGCAAAAGAAGGGGAAAAUAAUCUGGGCAUAAAAUCUAGUUAGCUAGAAUUUGGAUGCUUUCAUCUCAAGAAAUCUCUCUUUUUAUCUUUUCUUAAAGAUCAGUAGAUUCAAUGUACAGGGCAUUGCAGUUUUCUUCCUGUUUCUUCCUUUCUUUCUUUUCUUUUGGAAAAACAAAAGGAUGAUGAGAAUAUGCACAUUUUGGUUAUAUAAUAUCAACAAUGAUGAGAAUAAGAACAAUGAUAUGAAAGCAGACAGGACCAAUAAAUAAGUUUUCAGAAAUAACAACUGAUAAGUCGUCAAAUGAACACCUGUGCUGUGUACAUCAGUCUUCAGAGUUUAAAUUCCACAUCAUACUUCACUUGAUCAACAUCAAUAUGGUGGAAACAAAUUUAAAAGAAAGUUCAGUUUGAUAUGAUGUAAAACAAGAUAUCUCAUUAUUGGUUUGAUCUAAUUACAAAAAGUUAUGCUCAUAUCUAUAUCAUUUCUUAGUCUAGAGUAUAUUUGAACACACAACAAUAACAAUAAUUGCAAGCCAUAAUGAGCAGAUUCAACAUCUCACCUAUCAGAAAUCUUAAAUCGGGAAGCAGGGAUGAUACCGCAUUACCAACAAAACCUGAUAAUAACGAGAAAAAUAAAUUGAUCUUGUUUAGCGAACAAUUUUAGAGGGCAUAAAAACCUAGAACAUAUAUAGUUCUACAAGUUGAAAGGAUCUCAGUCCUUUUAGAGACAAAAUCCCCCACAAAAAGUAUCAACCCUUGCAAAGAGCAUCAGUCUUUUCCUACUGAAAGAACCUGACCCUAUCCAGCAGCUAGUUCUGAGGCAGUACAGUACAUGUAUAAUUCUUCACUGAUAACGGGUCAAGCCUUUGUCAGGAAAACAUCUCUACGAUGAUCAACAUGCGAUAGGGUGCAAGUCAUCUAAAACAUCUCUCGAUCCUGAUAACUCAACAAGAGUAAGCAGUGCUUCAGUUUAAUUUAACCAAGUACCUACCUGCCAGAUACACUGCUGUUAAUUCUCAAAGGCCAAUAAUGUAUGAAUACCUAAGAAAAAGCACAAUGCAAAAGAUUGGAACUAGGACACAUACAACAUUUACUGGAGAUUAGCAUUCUACAAUACCUCAGGGAAGAUUAUUUUAACGUAUUUGUCCAGAGACAACAAUACAAUAAAGUCUUAAGAAAAGGAACACACCAAAAGAUUAAAAAUUGGACGAAUGGCUGAGACUAGCAUGCUAUACUACAACAGAAUAGCAUAUAUAAGAAUCUGGAGAACCAAGGGCUGGAAUCAAAUUCGAGAUUACAUGUUGCCAUUAGGCAAUAAAUUUAGAGAUGCUCUAUUGUCACAUUGAAGCACAAGUCUCAUUUCUCUUUCAUUACCUGAAGGCAGGCAAUGGUUGAAUUCACCCUAGCAAAGUAACUCCUAGAAUUAUAUUUCCUUUUCCAAUUUGUUCAACAUAUCCUUACUAAUGUAAUCAAACUAGCACACUGCAGAUGGCAACCUCUGGAUGUUAACACAUACUAAAAGAGCAAUUUCCAAGAACCUUGUUAAUCCACUUCUUUUGCACCAAACACUCCGCAAAAGGAGCUAACACCCCAAGUAUUUUUUAUUGAUAAGAACAAUUUAUGAUCGAUACAACACAACCUCUGGACAGUAACACCUACUAAAAUAGCAAUUUCCGAGAUCACUGCGAAUCCACUUCUUUUGCACCAAACACCCUGCAAAUGGAGCUAGCAAUCAAGUACUUUUGAUUGAUAAGAACAUUUUAUGCACCGAACACUCAAUACGACCCAAUCCAUAAAAUGAGAGGAUCACACCCUCCAUAAACUUAUAAGCCAGACAUCUGUAACGCACAGAGCACAAUAAUAAUAUUCAUUGACAAUAACUGAAAAUACAUCCCAUCAAGUGUCAUCAUUAUUACUGGAGUAAACAUCUAACUAUACUUUUAUUAAAUAUCAUAUAACAAUCUUCACCUUGCUAGAACCGAACACUUCUCAAUCCUUAGUUCCCCAGCUACGGAUCAUCUGAAAUAUGUAAUUUUCAGAUCGAUAGGGAUUAUCUUAGUAGAAACAAGAUAUCAAGAAAUCUAGUUGUGUCUCAUGCAAUCAGCAAAAGAUAAGAAUAAUAAUAAAAAAAGAGCAUAACUUAGAAUAAAAGAUCUCACAAAUUCAUCAUGAGAAAAGCACAUCCAUUAGUGCACUUUGUUGCAUUGGAACUCGUCCGACUGCUCAGGAUGAAGCAACCUCCUUAUAGACUAAAUUCAUAUCACAUUCCCUGCUAUUAGUCCAUUACUAGGAUCAAGUGGUGCCCGGCAACAGUAGAAAUACGUCUUUCUAUAGAUGCAAGGAAUAUCUUAUAAGCUUGUUUGACGAAUACUAAUCCCUUUCAAAAUUGCCUACUAAUAAUGACAAUGUUGUUCAAUCAUCCAUAUAUGUAUAUAUCAACAUGCUGCACAACCAUGCAACAACAUCCUUUCACAUGCUCAAGCAUCCAACUUAUGCAUCAUGGCACUUCUAACAAAUAUUAAUAUGCGUCAAUUAUAGGCUACAAUAGACGCAUCAAUAUAAAAUUGAUUGCCAAAAGAAAUAUGAACUAAUAACAGCAUAUUAAAAUUUCAUCAUGUCAGCAUAAAGAGAAUCUAGGUUUUAUGAGGCACCUAACACUAUAUUGAUCAUCCAAAUUGGAUACAGAGUCCAAAAAAGUUAUUAUCGAUUUACAAUUCAGUCCUUGAAAUUUACAAUCAUUUCUUCAUUACAUUGCAAACCAGUCCCUAGCAGUCUUAAUGGGCAGGACCUUAUGCAGCCACGUGGAACUUGGUCGCUCAGGCCGGACCACAUGGAGUUGGCCAGUCUGAGCUGAAGUGCAUGAAGUUUAGACCACCCCCGUAUUCAAAUGCUUAAAUUGGUAAAGGACAACUUGUAUAUUCCAGUGCUUAAAUUGAGAACAAAACAUUGUCAAUACGGAAAGUGUGGUUUCCUUCAUAAAUUUAAGAGUUACAACUUCAUUCUCAAGAAGACAGUCAGCUUCAAACUAUCAUGGUGGCAACCAGGUAUUCAUUAAGGUUUUGCAUUUAUAAAGAGAGAAAUUUCAACUGAAUUGACCGAUCAGCAAGAGGAAAGAAGUGGUUCAAACUAAUCACUUAAGAAAGAGAACAAAAUUUGAUAAACAAAAUAUACAAAAAAUUGAAACCCAACCUCAUUUCCCUUUUUUGGGUUUUGGGUUUGGAUUUGGAUAGGAGAGGCUUUAAUAAAUUUAUAUAAAAGAUGACCAACCCUUGCCCUAAAUCAAAAGCCUCAUCAUCCAGCUCAAAAUCACCAAAGCAUCCUACCGUACCAUCCAAAAGAAUCCUACUUCUUAUCAUUUGAAAAAUUAACCAAAACUCGAAACCAAAAUUACCAAAUAUCCAUAGUCAAAUCAAUUCAAAACUUCAGGUGUCCAAUAACCUACAUAAGUCUGAUAUCUUCUAGUAGACUUAAAACGAAUGGGACAAGAAUAACAAUUCCAUGCGGCAUCUACACAAGAGAUUAUCAACAAGCAAUUAACUCUAUCGGCAAUAUCAUCGCAAAUCUUCUCAAUAUUCUUCAUUUUCUUACUACAUGUAAGCAUCCAAACUCAUCUUACAUUCACAGAAAACGAAGUAAAUGGCAGGAAUUAUUUGGUUGCAAACUGUAGAUCAUGUUAUGCAGAUAGUGGAAAAUUGGAACCUGGAAACAUAACUUGCUGGUACAAAAGCUUGUGCUAUGCAUUAUGCAUUUCCACGAUCAAAGUGCAGUUCUGUGUUUGGGGGCUACAUUAUACAACUCAAUGAGUUCUGGAUACUCCUUGUAGCAGUUGACGAACUUCUCCACAAAUUUCUUCUCUGGAUAUUUCAUGUAUGUAGACAUACUAAGGUUACUGAUGCAAACUCCCCUAGACUUCAGGCCUGUCAAAAUCCGAUGCCUUGGCAUCAACCUUUUCUCCAAACUCAUCAACAAAAUAACUGGCCGAAGUGCAAGAUAAGAUGGAGCACAUCUGGCUUCAUUUACCAAGAACUCCAUCUUCCUCUGCAAACUCUUUAAAGAAAAUCGCACAAACGUAGGAGCCUUUCUGAAUGCAGCAAGGAAAUCAUCCUCGGACCACCCGAAGCCCUUGAAGAACUCCAAGUGAGCCUUGAAGUUCUUCUCGGAGACGCUCUGGAGCACACUCAGGAUCAGGAGGAACAUCCCCGAGGUGCGAGGUACUCCCAAACCCUCGACACGACUGAUUAACGCCUUCAGGGUUUCAGCAUUCCGGGUUAUGAGGAGGGGAUAUUGCCGUAGGAUCAUUGAGAGCUUCUGAUCCGUGAUCCCGCAAUCCCUUAGAAUUUCAAUGUUAGGCUGGAUUCUCUUCUCGAUGCUAUACCCGAGAAACCUCCUGUUCUUCUUGCACAAGUUCACCAAAAAGUCGUUGGACCCGAGGAGGCCUUGCCAUAAUUGGAUCUUGGACAAGAUGGUCUGGGAUUUGUGGCUGAUGAAGUGGUUAUUCGAUCUGACGAGGUGGGUGAUGUCGGAGCAGGAGAAGCCCAGAUCCUGCAGAGCUCGGAACUUUGGGGCCAGGGUCUUCUCCACGUCGAGAAGAAGCAACCGGGGGUUUGCAGAUAUGACCUUUUUCAAGUGGGUGUUGUCAAAACCGUAGCUUUGAAAUAAGCCAAGGACGGAGUCAGGCUGGUGGCGGGAUUCGAUGCGGCCGAGGAGCUUCGAGGCCUUGGCCGCCUUAUCAGGAUCGAAGCCACAGGAGCUGACCAGGUAAUCAGCCAUAAGGCUGCUCUGUGGAGCUCUGGAGGCGGCGGAGUAUGAGUGGCUUGCGAGAAAAUGGACAGCAUCGGCCGGACGGCUGCGAGGGAUGAAGGCGAGGGCUUUGGACAAGAGAGAGAAGUAGG